CCGACGGUCACCACGCGGACACCGGCCACCUCAGGCAUAGUUAUGCUUAUGAGGCUGUGUUGAGCAUGCUGCCACAGCCAGAGCCACAACCUGAACCAUGGCCACCAGAGUUGGCAUGGUUAGUCUCCCAUGAUCAUGCCACCACAUCCACCGCCACCGCACCCGGCGCCACAGCCUGAACCGCAGCCCCCAGACUUGGCAUGGCUCAUCUUGGAGCCUUCCAUGAUCAUGCGGCCACAUCCGCCGCCACCGCAGCCGGCACCACAGCCUGAACCACAGCCCCAGACUUGGCGUGGCUCAUCUUGGAGCCUUCCAUGACCAUGCCGCCACAUCCGCCGCCACCGCAGCCGGCGCCACAGCCUGAACCGCAGCCCCCAGACUUGGCAUGGCUCAUCCUGGAACCUUCCUUGACCAUGCCGUCACAACCGCCGCCACCGCAGCCGGCGCCACAGCCUGAACCACAGCCUCCAGACUUGGCAUGGCUCAUCUUGGAACCUUCCAUGACCAUGCUGCCACAACCGCCGCCACAGCCUGAACCGCAACCGCCUGACUUGGUGAAGCCAGUCUUGGAGCCUUCAAUGACCAUGCUGCCGCAGCCACCGCCACAGCCUGAACCGCAACCACCUGACUUGGCAAAGCCAGUCUUGGAGCCUUCCAUGACCAUGCUGCCGCAACCACCGCCGCAGCCAGAGCCGCAGCCUGAGCCACAACCACUAGACUUGGUGAAGCCACAACCGCCUGACUUGGCAUGGCCAGUUUUGGAGCCUUCAACCACCAUACCGCCACAACUGCCACCACAACCUGAACCGCAGCCGCUAGGCUUGGCAAUGCCACCCUUGGAACCUUCAAUGGCCAUGCCGCCACAACCUCCACCACCACAACCUGAACCACAGCCACCAGACUUGGUGUUCCCCUCCUUGGAGCUUUCAAUAACCAUGCUGCCACCGCAGGAACCGCCGCAUCCCGAUCCACACCCAGCAGACUCAAUAUGGCCAUUCUCUCCGCCUGCAACGACACCACAACUCGCAUGACCUUUCUUGUAGCUCAUGGUGACCACAGAGACACCACAUCCACCACCACAGCCUGAUCCACAACCACCGCACUUAGAAUCAGCCACCUUGCCGCUUGCAAUGACCGAGCCGGCACAGCUAGCAUGACCAGCCUUGUCACUUGCCAUGACCAUGUCGCCGCCACCGGCCGUGCCACAAGCGCCACAUUGUGCCGGACCAGCAGUGGCGCCUGCUGCUCCACCUUUCACCAUUUCAGAUGCCACUGUAGUAUCAGGCUGACCUUCAAUGAGCUUCGCACCAUGUUUUCCGAUGGAAUUCAGGAACAAGAAUGACAUCGCGAUCCAGGGAAGCAGAAACCAAUCCUCAUCCACCUAAAUUUAAGUAAGAAUGUACCAUGAGUGUAUCUGACAUGCAAGGAAAUUAAUUUUGACUAGUUAGAAGGAUAUGGCGUUAGAGCUGACGAUGUACCGUGAUAAAUUUUGAUUCAGUGUCAACUAGGGCGACUGCUUUGCCAUAGGGGUGUUCAGCCGAGAACUUCACAGCGGUAACUGCUGCUGCAGUAUCUUCAGCAUGCUGACUGCAGCAUUUGAGUUCAUAUGCUAGUCUCCUUCCCUUGUAUAGUUUGAUCUGCUUUGUUCAAAGAAGUACCAAAACUAUGAGUAUGAACUUAAAUGCAUAAACGUUUCUUAUUUACAUAUGAAUUAAUGUAAUCAUUAUCUUCAGAGCAAACAUGAAUUGAGCUGUACACUGCAACUGUCCUUACCAAUUUGUUGUCGUAUUUGAGCUCGUGUAUGCAGCCAUCCUUGCUUGGUUUCAGGUCAUGAGUGACGGAUGGGUUGGAGUUGUUGAGAGACCAUUUGUUUUCCGUGAAUUCUGCAAGCUGAAAUGGAUGCUUUGAUGACUUUGUUACUCCAACCAAUUCUUGAGUGAGAGCCAUGCCACUCUUGGCCUUGUGCUCCCUGAAUUAAGGGGAUGAAUUUCUCAUUAGACUAGAAAAAAAAACAGAUAUUUCAUUCAUAGUAAAAUAAUCCCCGCAAAUUUUUUUAGUAAAUUAGAACUUUGCCGUGUCCACUGGAAUAAAUUUGGAUCUGUUUUGAAGGCGAAAUACAGAUACUUCUAUAUAAGUCGAAUAUUAAUUCCUGCAGAAAACACCAAUUUGCAGUUUGAAAUGAAACUGUUAUUGGCAAUCGAUGUAUCACAUAGUAACUUUUUAUUCGUUUCUGCAACAGAAAAAAAAAUCCAAGUAUCAUGCAAGACGUACUAAUCAGCAGACAAAUGCGUUUCUAGACUCAAUGUUCAGUUCUUCACAUAUAUGUGCCGACUGAUGCCACGGACAGCGAAAAUACCUUAUCUGAAGACGAAUGAGUUCAGUACCACAAUCAUACACGAAGCGAGUCCAGGAGCUCAUAUCUUGAUCCUUGGUGGAAUGUGGCAAUAGACAGGCCUUCAGAGAGCAAGGCUUCACAUUCACCAUGCUAAGAACCUGUGAAGCCUGCCUUGGGACAGUACAAGAUGCGGCGACACGAAGACUGACAGGAGGGGAACCAGCAUAAGCGCCGCAACUUUUCAGUUCAAACCACCUCUCAAAGGAGAGCUUGGAAUCAUGCUGUGUAAGCUCUUGAAGAGAGAUCGAAACCUUCCCCAACGGUUCCGAUUUCUUCGAUGACGAUGCCCCAGAAUAGGCCAGAUCAACCAUUACUGUAAGAAUGAGUUCGCCGGUAGGUUCGCAUUGGAAACCAGCUCCAAUACUCUUCCCUAUUUUCGAUGAAAUAUCCAACCUGCCGCCAUCACCGAUAAGUGCAUCUGGUUGAGUCUUGGUGAACCAUACAUACACACUUUUCUCUGGAAUUGCAGAUGGUAAGUUCUUGAUGUCCACAAUCUGUAAGUAUAACUACAAAAGUAUGAAAAUAUUUUGAGUUAGUAAAUUCAGUAACUGUCUCUUGGCGCUGGAUCGUGUUUUUAGAUAACUGAUACCAGGCGUUUCUUCCAAAUUAAUAAUCUAAUAUUAAUAGUAGUACAACAUACAACAUUUUGGGUUAACUUACUAGAUCAGAAAAAACUUUGAAUCCAAAAUUAUUGACUACUUGUCUAACUGUUGCUUCAUGGACAGCAAUAAGAUGUAAAAAGAAUAUCAUACCUCCACAACUGCUGUUUCAACAACAGCAAGACGCUUCUCCGCUUCAUCGACACCAAAAACACCAUCUUCCUCACCACCAAAUUCUAUCCGAGGAACGGAUGUCACGGGAGACGGCAAGCUUCCACGGUACAUAGCGCCGGCCUUCCAGUACCUCACACCAAAGCAAUCCUCGAACUGCUCGGUGGUGCCUGAAAACCCGGUGUCGAGCUUCUUCCCUUCGGCCCGAUCGUCGUCCGUGUCAUCGUGCUCCAGAACUCUCCCAAGGAGACCCACCAUGUCAUCGCGGUAGGCAAGAGGAUUCAGUUGGUGGGUGUGCCACAUCAGAUCCACAUCGUAGGUUGGCACACGGAAGAGGUUCGUUCCUUUCUCCUGGUUCAUCUUGAUCAGAUACAAAAACCCUUUGUACCGAGCCAAAGCGUCUUCAAGGAAACGGCGAUCAUGCAUGGUUGGUGUUCCAACCUGCCAGAAACGAAGGAAUUCACUGAAUUUCUCUACAUAUUUAUUUAACAGAGCAAAGUUUAGUAGUGUGACCAGCUACCUGGUAGACGAAAGAAGACUGUCUCUUAACAGCUGAGAUCAAAUCGUAGGAAAUGCCUCCUGCGGUUCCAUCGCCCACGUAAACAGAUUCUGUAGUGUACUCCAACUCAAAGGGCUCCCCAGGAUAUAACUCGGUCCAAACUUUCUCGGACGGAUCCUUGGACUUUGCUUGAACGGAGGACUUGACAUUGUUAGAGUCCAAUAUCCUGCCAUAUAAUCUCUUGCAAUCCUUUAUGUAUCGAUUCUGAAACAAGAUGAUUUUGAUUUAGAAAUUAUUUCCAGCCAUGUUGACACUAGUAUUUUCUUUUAUGCCAGGUGUUGCAAACAUAUACUGCUAGUUCUCCAAUGUUGUGAUGACAGAUUUUGAACGACACACGAACAUCUGUGAGUUAAUAUAUGUGUACCGGGUUAAGCCGAUGGCAGUGCCAUAUCCAUUCGCAGUCAAGCGGAACAACCAGAGGCUCAUCAUCUGCAAGAAUAGCGGCCUUGGUGUGCUUGGCAAGAAGGGGAAGCCAGCAAGCUUUGUACCUAGCACAACAACAAAGUCAGACAAUAUUUCGAAGUCUUCCAUACGAUACAGAACAUAAACUAAUUUAGCACCGGUGAUAUUUUUUACAUAGUAGUAUAAUCAGUGAUUUCAGCAUGAUAUACAGGGUCUUUAAAAGUAAAAUAGGCAGACAGAUUUAAUUACAUGCCAAAACUAUCUAGAUAAGGCCCGAAACUGUAGCACCAGACUGUAACUGGAAGCACAGACCAGAGGAUGGUUUCAGAAGGAAAAAUUACUGGCGAUUAUCGAUGCCAUUCCUUAUUAUAAAACUGAAAACCCAAACAUAUAUUCUCAGUUCAACUCUGUUCCACCGACCUAAUUAUACCAAGGUUAACUGAACUAGUGUUUUCUUUCUGUCUGAUUUUGCUGAAGAAGCAUGUGUCUGUCAGGGUGAUUCAACAGGAGUUUACCGAAGAAACAUGGCAACGAUUAAUCACUGAGAAAAUUUCACUCCCAGCACAAGAAGACGCCAUAGAUGGUAGAAAGUGUUGAUCAACAAUACCCAGAAGAUAAAAGAAAAAACGAUGAAACGCCUCGGAAAACAAACUAGAUUCACAGACGCGAUGGUCUCUCUUGUGCUGCUCAAGAGGCAACAGGAUGGAUGGCGAUAGUCGGUAGGUACCUGCGUAUGGCCCUGUGGAGCAGCGGGCCGUCGUAGAGCCACCGGCGGCGGUCGACCGCGGCGAGGAACUCCAGCUGCCGCAGCGCGGCCGGGACGAGGUCCUCGCCGAUGCCGAUCCCCUGCGCCGCCGCCCACCGCGACUCCUGCUCCGCGUCCAUCUUUCUUCUCCCUCCUUGCUCCGAUCGUCCCCACCCCACCCACCUGCAAGAACCUGAGUGAGGGAGACUGCGCUACGGACUCCGAUGGCUGACUCUCUGCCACCAAGUAACCAUGCAUGGCUCCCUAUUUAUGCACCGAGGGAGGGAGCCAGGAGCACGCAAAUAGUGUACGGCGAGGCAAAACACAGCACAGAGAUAAAUUAUUGACCAACUGAAAUACUCCACUAGCAUCGAUCGCUAUCCAAUCCACGGCGAAUAAUGUAUGAGCUGCUUUCAGUUAAGGGCACUCGUACGUAGCGUGUGCUGCGCGCGCAUGAACAACUCUGCACGCUUUCUGAACCCAUACGAUAUCCAUCCAUGCAUGAUCGAUCUUUCUUGCCAACUAUGCACACUUGUGGCUGCUGGUACUGCAAAAGCAAAUGCAAGUGCAAGUGCAAGUGCAUGCAUCUUCUACCAACUCUCCAGCUUCCUUUUGCAGCUCGUUUAGAAACUUUGAAAUGCAGAAAAAGAUAUUACACCUGCUAUAAAUACUAUGCACACAGUAGUACGACAAGUUUUUAGAUCAGUGACAAGAAGUAAAAUUUAGUCUGGAUCAUGUAACAAAACCGUGGCAAUAAUUUCGCAGGACCCUAGCUAAUCCUUGCAAAAAGUAUUGUUGCUUGCAAACCCAAGAAAACUAUGUGAUGUAACACAUCACGCUUGGACUAUUCAAUAAUGGAGAUGCUCGGCCUGUGCGGAUCAUGCCGCUUCCGGAGCAUACGCAGCACGAUAGUAGUACACUCGUACUGCAGUAGUACAGGGCUCAAGGCGUUUGAUCGUACGGUACGUCACAUGGCCGUGGUUUCUGCCAGGUCAUCUCCGCACCGGAUAAACAAUUCUGGGGCGGAAUUAUGCUAUUAUUACAGAUUAGAGCAUCUCCAAAAGUUCCAUAAAAUAAUUACAGUUUAGGGGAAGUUGGGCACACAAAAAACAGUCUCCAAACAUUUCCAUAAACGCCCAAGAAAUUACAAAUAAUCCCGUGUAACCUUAAAAAAAACCUUCAUCUACGGGAAGAUGACCGCCCUUUCCGUAAAAGUGUCACACCACCCAAUCCCCAUUGGACGCCCCCCCCCCCACCACCACCAACGACUGUCGUGCAGCUUGCUCGCCGUCGCUGAACAACAUCGUAUGAUGUCACCACCGUUAGUUGGGGUUGCGUCACCACGAAAAACCACUUAUAGGGAAAGUUUUCACGGAACUGAGAAAAGACCGCACCUUGGAACUUCCUCCAAGUUAUAUGGACAUCCCGUAAAACCACUUCUAUGGAGAAUUUUUUACAGAAACCGUUGAAGAUGCUCGUCCGUUGGGUUUAUAUGGUGUUUGAUUGGGUUUAUUCUUGGCUUUUGCACUUUGGUUUAUAAGCUCAAAAACAUCUAUUUAUGGGAUUCUGGCUUUAGCUUUUGGCUUACAUAAACAUGUAGCAACACUGAGUCAUAAGUCUAAAGCGUAUAAAUAGGUCAUUUUUUUGGUUUACAAACCAAAGUGUAAAUGCCAGAAACAUGACCAAGUCUCACGUUGGUUGUCGGAGGUAGAAGAUGACUUAUAAGAAUGUAGUGUCCCCUCCUAUCAAGCUGGUCUUUCAGACAAUAUCUUAUUUUUGACCCUCUUUAGAAAGGGAAUUUUUGUUUUAGCCAUUGUAGAUUUUGCUCAUUUUCCUUAUCCCACUCUAGUUUUUGACAUGUCACUUUUGUCACUCUUAGCUUUUGACAAUACAUCACAAUUGUCAUUUCAUGGCAAAAGCAAAAUAAUUUCAUUUCACUUUUGCCAUUUUCUAUGUAGGUUAUGAGGCAAAGCAACAAAGACUAAGACCGAGCAAAACAACAUAUAAUCUAGUGAAAUGUGCUAAAAUUGAUAACAAAAUUCAUGAUGCUUGUAUUGUAUCUAAUGCCAAAGUAAAUUACGUGGAGAUCGGGCGACAUAAAAAACUUAGCAAAUUAUGUAGGGGAACCAUCAUCAACUCCCCACGAGUACCGUUGCUUGUUUUCUUAUUGUUCUUAGGCGUCAUCCCAUUGUAUAUGUUCUACUAUUUGCGGCACAUUUGAAUUAUCUAGGAUUAUAUGUUGUGCCAAAUAUUAGUUGCAUACUCUUGCUGGGAUGGAUUGCUCUUGUCUUGCACCGCCUUUUUGCGGCACGAGAUGUAAAUGAUUCAAGGCCAAGUGUGGUGUAGGCAUGCAAUGGCAUCAUAUCACUUAACCUAGUAAAUGUAAAAACAUACAUGCCCAUAAAAUAUCAAAAAAUGAGCAACACCAACGACUCCAGGAUAAACCACUCACUCACAAUUUAUUUACUCUAGAAUUUUUUUAAAUCAGUAGAUUUUUAGUUAUCCCUUCUAUUUACUUACACCUAAAAACAAAAAUCUUGCACUCUAGAAACCUCCGUCAACUUUAGAUAUUUCUCCCAUGGUAUUUAAAGAUACUAUAAAAGACAGAAUGAUAUAUACAUAUACUUAGAAUUUAUCUAAGUGGCAAAAUGGAAUAGGUGAUAGAAUGCGAGUUUGAUCUUUUUGGCUUUUCUUUGCUACAGAGGAAUUCUGAUCUAACGGGGGCUUUUAAGGGGAACUAUCUAAAGAAGGAAACUAUAAAUGCCACCUUUUAUGCAUACUAUAUUCUAUAAAUAUAGUGUAUGUAUAAUUGUAUUGUAGAUGUUAAAAUUGUAUAACAUGAGUAUUUUAUCACAAUAUAUAGUAGCAUUGUUGGGAAACUAAAUCGGUCCAGACAGUAUGUUGAGAUAAUAAGUUAAAAAUAAGUAAAAAAAUGUAGUAUAAAUAAAUGAAUAUAAUUUAGGCUAUCUUACUUGUAAAAUGAACCCAUGGUCUACCGUCGGUCUGUCGCCAUAGCCCUGAGCUUCUCGACUCGUGCGGCGUCCGAAAGCAGUGGCGGAACGAGGAACGAAAUGAAGGGUGUGCACACUUUAAAAAAAAAUCCUACCUAAUCCAAGUGUAACAAAAUAUGGCAAAAGAAUUACAUAAAUAGCUCAAUUCAAAUCUCACAACCAUUUAGUUCACAAAAUAUAUCCCAAAUGUGCUCAGUUACAAUACAAAAGGCUUACAUGAAAGAAACAGAAGUAAAAAAUUACAACACUAGGUAACUCUACGUCGUUACAUUGCCAUGAAAGCAUCAACUAUUUCAUCUUCACUUACUUUCAUGAACACAUCUCGCUCAAUGAAUAUCAUCAAGCAAUUAUUCAAGCGAUCAUCACCCAAGCUAGUCCUCAAUUUAUUUUUCACUAGAUUCAUUGCAGAAAAUACCCUUUCAACACUCGUCGUUGCCACUGGUAAAAUCAAUAUCAAUUUGAUGAGUAAGUGGACCAAAUCAUAAAGAACAUGCUUCUUUGUUGCAACAAGCAAAAUAGAGAGAUCACCAAUAUUACUUGCAUUUCUAAACCUAUCAUCUUGUCUCAUAUCAUAAAUAAAAGUACCAAGUUGAAAUUCUAGCCUUAUCAAAUCCGUGCUUGAUAUGUCCAUGGGAUAGAAUUCAACAAGUUUUAUUUCCUUGAAUGCAUCAUAAGAAGCAAAUGAAUUGAGGGGAUUCAAAGCCGACAUGCAAAUAAGCAACUCCGUAUUAACCUCGUCAAACCGGUUGUUAAGCUCUUGAAUGAUUUGGUCAAUGACACCAAGAUAUAUUUCUCUUCUAUAACGAUCAUCAUUUGUUUGUACUUCAUAAUACCGACGUGAUCUUCCAUGAUGCUCAUAAGUAUCCUGCCAUAAAGGAACUUGAAUGCCAUGUUUGUUGCAAAAUAAGGUUAGCUUUGCAAGAAAUUCUUCCCAACCAUGACACCUCAUGUGUUGCAUUCUACUCUUUGCCAAACUAACAAGUGCCAUUGCAUUAACAAUAUAUUAAUCUCUCUUUUGCAAAGAUUUGGACAACUCAUUUGUAUAGCCAAGAAUAACAAGCAUCAAGUGAAGAUUGAAAACAAAUUCAAAUGAUUCAAUGGCUUGAGUAACUCCAUGUAUUCUUGUCCAUUCACCUUUUUGUGAAGGAUCUUUUCCAAUGGCGUCAAGUACCUCAAGAAUUGUGGAAUACAUAUGCUAACAAUAUGCAUAAUGGUUUUAAAAUGAGAAACCCAACGAGUAUCGCCGGGUCUAGAUAGUCCCAUCUCUUGAUUUAGCCCACUUCCACUUUCAAUCUCACCCAUUUCAAGAGCUUCCAAAACCUUUUGAGCUCUAACAUCUCGAAGCAUGUCAUGUCGCCUACAAGAAACUCCAACUACAUUGAGCAAGUAAGAAACAUGAUCAAAGAACCACAAACAUGGUUCAUUAUCCUUUGCCACAGCUAUAAGAACCAAUUGAAGUUGAUGUGCAAAACAAUGGAUGUAAUAGGCCGAGGGUGACUCUUUCAUGACCAAAGUUUUCAAUCCUUUAGUCUCCCCUUUCAUGUUGUUAGCCCCAUCAUAUCCUUGCCCACGUAUUUGACUAGGUGUCAAAUGAUGAUCUUUAAGCAAAGUUUGAAUUGCAUCCUUAAGUGACAAUGAAGUUGUAUUGGGAACAUGAACAACUCCAAGGAACCUCUCAUACCCUCUUCCCGAUUUAUCAACAUAACGUAUGUAGAGAGCAAGUUGUUCUUUGUGAGAUGCAUCACUGGACUCAUCAGCUAGGAUUGCAUAGUGGUCAUAACCAAUAUCUUCAAUAAUUCUUUUAGUUGUUUGCGCCGCACAACAUUCAAUUAUUUGAUUUUGUAUCUUUGGACUAGUCAAUAUGCAAUUCCCAGGAGCAUUGUUCAGAACAACCUUAUUAACUUCUUCUUCAUUUGCAGAAAGUCAUUUAAGAAGUUCAAGAAAGUUCCCCCUAUUGCUAGAGUCUUCACUUUCAUCAUGUCCACGAAAUGCCAAUCCUUGGUUCAAAAGAAACCUCAAGCAUCUAAGUGAAUAAGUUAGCCUAGCCAUGUACAUACGUAGAUCCUCUUUAGACGCCCUCACAAUGAUAUCAUCAAUUGAUGGUUGGGGUAACACAAACAAAUUGUACUUCUCUUGAGCUUUGUUGUGAAUGCUAUUUAUACCACCUUCAUGUUUGUCUAAUGCAUCAAGACCUAUACCAAUUUUUCCAAGCACCUUUAACAAAUGUAUCACCCCUAGGUCCCCCAUUCGAUUUGCCUUUGAACAAAUAACACACAAAGCAAAAUGUUGCCUCAUAUUUGACACUAUAUUCUAGCCAUUUAUAGUUCUCAAACCAAACAAAGUUGAAGUGUCGAUUUUUACCAUACAUUUUCUUGACUUCAAAGUUGUGUGCAUAUGGUUGGAUUGCAUUCUUUGCAAUGUACCGUUUCCGAACUUUAUCUUGAUCACCGACAUCAUACUCUGAAAUAGGAAUCCUUUCCCCUGGAUUAGUUGGAAGCCUUUGAAUAUUAUAUGAUCUUGCAUUUGGAUGUUGAGGUGAUGGUUGUCGUGGCGCUUCAUCAUCAAUAUCAAUGUCAAUCUCUAGAUCGGAAUGGACUGGAGGUGAAUAAAUAUCAAUGUCAAUCUCUGAAUCUAAAUGGAGUGGAGGCAGUGGAGGUGGAUCAAUAUCAGGUUUAUGUUGCUCUUGGGCUGCAACCUUUCUUGUUUUUGCCUCAUAAUUGAGGAAAAAUGACUUAAUGUCAUCAUUCCUCUUCAUCUUCAGAUGUACUAUAAUUAAAACAUAAUGUCACUACAAAGUUGUAACUGCAAAGAGCAAAGUCUGCAAACAAGAUACAAACUCAUCCACCAAGCAACUCACCCACGAGCCAUGAGGCCACAACGAGCGGCUCUGCCCUGGGCGAGCAGCGACGCACCGUCGGAGCGGCAGGACUGGGAGCAGUGGCGGAAGCUCCGCGGCUGGGCAGGCAGUGCCGGAAUGGCGGAAGACCGUGUUGGGGAACGUCGCAUGGGAAACAAAAAUUUUCCUACGCGCACGAAGACCUAUCAUGGUGAUGUCCAUCUACGAGAGGGGAUGAGUGAUCUACGUACCCUUGUAGACCGUACAGCAGAAGCGUUAGAGAACGCGGUUGAUGUAGUGGAACGUCCUCACAUCCCUCGAUCCGCCCCGCGAACAAUCCCGCGAUCAGUCCCACGAUCUAGUACCGAACGGACGACACCUCCGCGUUCAGCACACGUACAGCUCGACGAUGAUCUCGGCCUUCUUGAUCCAGCAAGAGAGACGGAGAGGUAGAAGAGUUCUCCGGCAGCGUGACGGCGCUCCGGAGGUUGGUGAUGACCUUGUCUCAGCAGGGCUCCGCCCGAGCUCCGCAGAAACGCGAUCUAGAGGAAAAACCGUGGAGGUAUGUGGUCGGGCUGCCGUGGAAAAAUCGUCUCAAAUCAGCCCUAAAACCUCCGUAUAUAUAGGUGGGAGGGAGGGGACCUUGCCUUGGGGCUCAAGGAGCCCCAAGGGGGUCGGCCGAGUCCAAGGGGGAAGGCUCCCCCCAAAACCGAGUUGGACUUGGUUUGGUGGGAGGGAGUCCUUCCCUUCCUUCCCACCUCCUCUUUUUUUUCCUUUUCUCUUGAUUUUCUCUUCUUGGCGCAUAGGGCCCUUUUGGGCUGUCCCACCAGCCCACUAAGGGCUGGUGUGCCACCCUCAAGGCCUAUGGGCUUCCCCGGGGUGGGUUGCCCCCCUCGGUGAACUCCCGGAACCCAUUCGUCAUUCCCGGUACAUUCCCGGUAACUCCGAAAACCUUCCGGUAAUCAAAUGAGGUCAUCCUAUAUAUCAAUCUUCGUUUUCGGACCAUUCCGGAAACCCUCCUGACGUCCGUGAUCUCAUCCGGGACUCCGAACAACAUUCGGUAACCAACCAUAUAACUCGAAUACGCAAGAAACAACGUCGAACCUUAAGUGUGCAGACCCUGCGGGUUCGAGAACUAUGUAGACAUGACCCGGGAGACUCCUCGGUCAAUAUCCAAUAGCGGGACCUGGAUGCCCAUAUUGGAUCCUACAUAUUCUACGAAGAUCUUAUCGUUUGAACCUCAGUGCCAAGGAUUCAUAUAACCCCGUAUGUCAUUCCCUUUGUCCUUCGGUAUGUUACUUGCCCGAGAUUUGAUCGUGAGUAUCCGCAUACCUAUUUCAAUCUCGUUUACCGGCAAGUCUCUUUACUCGUUCCGUAAUACAAGAUCCCGCAACUUACACUAAGUCACAUUGCUUGCAAGGCUUGUGUGUGAUGAUGUAUUACCGAGUGGGCCCCGAGAUACCUCUCCGUCACACGGAGUGACAAAUCCCAGUCUCGAUCCAUACUAACUCAACGAACACCUUCGGAGAUACCUGUAGAACAUCUUUAUAGUCACCCAGUUACGUUGCGACGUUUGAUACACACAAAGCAUUCCUCCGGUGUCCGUGAGUUAUAUGAUCUCAUGGUCAUAGGAACAAAUACUUGACACGCAGAAAACAAUAGCAACAAAAUGACACGAUCAACAUGCUACGUCUAUUAGUUUGGGUCUAGUCCAUCACAUGAUUCUCCUAAUGAUGCGAUCCCGUUAUCAAGUGACAACACUUGCCUAUGGCCAGGAAACCUUGACCAUCUUUGAUCAAUGAGCUAGUCAACUAGAGGCUUACUAGGGACAGUGUUUUGUCUAUGUAUCCACACAAGUAUUGUGUUUCCAAUCAAUACAAUUAUAGCAUGGAUAAUAAACGAUUAUCAUGAACAAAGAAACAUAAUAAUAACUAAUUUAUUAUUGCCUCUAGGGCAUAUUUCCAACAGACCGGAGGGGCGGAGCCGCGGAGGGCAGAUGGCUAGGGCGCCGGAGCCGGAGCGCGAUGGAGCGGGGGAGCCGGGGCCAGAUGGGACGAGGGGAGCCGGGGAGGACCGGCGGUCGCGGCGACCGGCGGGGAGGCGCCGAGCAACGGCGGCCCGGCGGCCGAGCGCGAGCCCUAGCGGGGAGCAGGUUGCGGCGUCCUCUAUGUUAGGAAUUAAUUAAAUGUAUUAAUUAAUGGGAUAAUCCCUGCGUUGCCGGUUGCCUUGUUUUAGCAACCGUUCCUUGUAAACCGCCUCUGUAACAGGGGUAUAAAUACCCACAUCUUCAAUCAAUGAAAACACUGUUCCAUCAUUCUGUCACUUUCACUACUUUACACGUUAUCAGCGCUCGCUCUGCCGAGAGCGACAGAGAGCCAAGAGAAAGGUGAGAAUGGCAGGGAGAGAUUUGUCCUCGCUUGCUUUUGCUUUCGCACGUUUCCUGCAGAAAGAAGACAGCCGCUUCACUCGCACGCAGCGCCACCGCAUUGCACGUCGCCGUCAGGGUCUUGGUGCAAGGAAUGGCCCUCGCCGCCGUUCCUUCACCAGGAACCACCGCCAGAACCGGAGUGGCCCUCAUCGCCGCUUCUUCGCCGGGAACCACCGCCAGAACCGCCGCCGUGGGGCCAUCAGCGUCGUUCCUCGAAGAAGAUGUGAUGUUCCCCUGUGAACUUGCGCCGCCGCCUCUUCCUCCAUACUGCAUGCAGCACGGAUUCGGGCCAUGCCCUGCGCGCACGGAUGGCCACGUCCCGGAGCUGCCAUCCCCGACGCCGGCAGCGGCAGCACACACCGGCCCCGUCCCGGAUCUGCCAUCUCCGACACCGGAUCGAGAGGAACGAGGCGGUUAUCCCACCAUCCCCAUCUUGAACAUCCAGAUCAAGGUUGAAGAAGAGGGGAUGGAGGCCAUGGGCUCGUCGUCGUCGCUCCGCCCUCCAUCACCGGCGAUACCUCCUCCUCCUCCGGCUCCGCCCCUUCCGCUGACGCCACCGCCGGAAGCUCGCCGGAUCCUGUGCUAGUUCGCCGCUGCUAUGGCGCAGAACCGGGCGGCUCUUCGUGGCGCGUGGUCGCCGGACGCCCUGGGCUUCGCCGGCGCACCGGAGGCAAGCAGCAGCGGGAGUAGCCGGGCUGCGCUGCGGGGCCAGCCCCGUUUUCCUUGAAGCAGCCAUGGGGAGAGGAGGCUGGAGUUGUGAGGUGUUUGGGUCUGCAUCGGGAAGAAGAUGGGAAACAGGAGAGAAGUGGCUGUGUGGCCUCGGCUUGCUGCCUUGCUCUCUCCCUUAUCCAUUUCUCCAACCGGUAUAUGGUCCAACACAGGCCACGUCCACUCCAAACUCCAAGCCACGUUUUCCUCUCCAAAAGGCCUACAAGCCACGUUUCCUCUUCAAAAGGCAUACAGGCCAGGAAAUAAAGUGACUAUUAGCGUUGUGUUUUAAUCAUAGUACUACUAUGCUGCAAUUACUAUAUUGCACUGCAGAUUGUUCCUUUUUAUUUCAGUGUGAUAUGUUAUUGUAUUAAGAACCUCUCCUUAUCAUAUUCACUCGGUAUUGUACUGUAGUAUGAAUACUUAGAUUGUAUAUUGUCUAAAAUAAAGUCUCAGAUUAUGUGUACAUAUUCUAUAUAAUUGCCUCAGCAAUUUUCAUUUUUUUAGAAUAUGUAGUUUUCAAGUACAAUUUUUUUUUAAUUCAAAUUUUUGGGAUCACAAGGUAGAUGAGGCAUCUACUGCAUUUUGCAGAUUAUCCUCAUCGCUGAAAGAUCUACAUUUUGCCUUCGUUAUUUUGGCAAAAUGACUAUCUUCGAGUGCUCUCCCGAAUAUGCGAAUUAAUGUGACUACCUCAAAUUUUUACAAAUCACAAGGUAAUUGUGUGAUCUACUGCAUAAUUUGCAGAUUAUCCACUCUUGCUGAGAGGUCUACAUCUAGUCUUUUGACAAGAUGACUACCUUCAAAGUGUUUUUGUAAAAUAUAGUAUGACACAAGGUAAUGGACUACGAACAUCUACUGGUCAAAACCAGACUAUGUUCUCCACUACUAUGAGAUCUACACCCCAACGGUGAAUAUUUUCGAAGUGUCAUAUACAUAAAAUGAGGUCUACACAUAAAGCAUCAGCUAUACUUGAAAAUUUUGCUUCCUAAAGCAUUUGUUGUAACUUAUAUUUUACUCUCAUAGUAAAACUAAAUUAUGCAUGAAAAUACCAUGCAGGAAAUGGCUGGUGUCAUGCAUCGUGAAUUUCAUGAACUUGAACUAGAUGGUAGUAUCUAUUUACCAUGGGCUAUGGAUGCAAAGAUAGCCCUCGAAAGCCGUAAACUCGGUUUCACUAUCACCACACCCGUUGAAGGCGCCGGAGAAAUCCCCACGGCAGCCAAAUAUAGAGCUUUAAGUUUCUUAAGGCACCAUCUCCAUUCAGACUUAAAGUCGGAAUAUUUGAUGGAAGAAGAUCCACUGGUUUUGUGGAACUCUCUCAAGGAGAGAUAUGACCAGCAAAGAGCAGUCAUGCUGCCAGAAGCACAGAGAGAAUGGUCCCUCAUAAGGUUCCAAGACUUCAAAUCUGUGGCAGCAUAUAACUCUGCAGUUCACAAGGUUAACUCAAAACUAAGGUUUUGCAAUCAAGAAAUUUCUGAAGAAGACCUUAUUGAGAAGACCUUGUGCACUUUCCACCCCUCGAUGAGGGUACUACAAUAGAAGUACCGUCAACAAAAAUACAAAAAGUAUUCUGAGCUCAUAUACACUUUACUUCAGGCUGAGAAACAUGAUGAACUUCUCAUGAAGAAUCAUCAGACACGCCCAACGGGCUCAAUGCCACUCCCUGAAGCACAUGCUAACACUCAGUUUACUAAAAAGUAUGGGGGCAACAAAAAGAAUUUCAAAAAAUUCAAUGGAAAGUGGAAAAGGAACAACAAGCAGAAAAGCUUUGGUCAAUCUAAAGGUAAAGGUCACUUCAAGAAAAAUGACCGAAACACCAACUCCGAGAUUUGUCAAAGAUGUGGAUGUACUAACCAUCGUACUAGUAAAUGCCGAACUCCCAAGCAUCUAGCGGAUUUAUACAUCAAAUCCACUGGGAAAGGCAAACAAGUUCAUGGAAAAGCCGAAGCUCACUUCAACGCCUUACAACAAGAAGAAAACCUUGAAGCUAGCACUUCUCAAAGCGCUCCUAAGGAAACAAGGCAGAAGGAUGAAGAUCUUCUUGAUGUUGGCAACAUGAUGGUGGAAUACACCCAAGACGCAUAGAGAUCUUAUAUAAUCUCCACAUCACUCAUUUGAUGUUAUCAACUAUUUUAUUGUAAUAAUGGAUGUUAUAAUUUGUAUAACUCUAAGUAGAAUAAAAGUCCUACGGACCAAUCGUAUUAUGUAAUUCAAACAUAAUGUCAUAUUUAUAUUUGUAACUGUAAUAUGAAUACUUUGUAUGUAUAUAUUUAUAUGUGAGUAAUAUGAAUAAAGUUUCAUCCUAAAAUAUUCUUUUACUCUAUAUAGAUUUUACGGGAAAAUAAUCCAAUGGAAGAAGAAUUAUGUUUGGUGGACAGUUGUACCAGUAACACAAUAUUAAGGGAAAUAAAAUAUUUCCAAACUCUAACUAAGAGAAAAGGGAAUAUUAUGACCAUUGACAGUCGCGAUGCGUCGAUUAUUGGUUCAGGACGAGCCACACUCGUUCUACCUAUGGGUAGUACAAUUGCAAUUGAGGAUGCACUAUUGUAUCCUCAAUCUACACGCACUCUUCUAAGUUUCAAAGACCUCAGAUCAAAUAACUUCCAUUUGGAAACAAUAUCUGAAAAUAAUUUUGAACAUUUGCUUUUAACAAAGAGUAAUGGGUCUGAGAAACAAAUUCUUGAGAAAUUCCCCUCACUUUCAUCUGGAUUAUAUUACAGUUAUAUAAAACCCGUACCACAUGUUGCGUACAAAAUAAUUUUUCAAGAUCUUGAUAAAUUCAAGACUUGGCAUGAUCGCCUAGGUCAUCCUGGCGUAGGGAUGAUGACAAAAAUUAUUGACAAUUCUAUUGGUCACAGCCUUCCAACUAUAAAUUUCCCAAAAUCAUCAGAUUUUGUGUGCACCGCAUGUGCAACUGGAAAAUUAAUUAUAAAACCAUCUUAUCUUAAAGUUAAAAAUGAGUCAUUAAAUUUUCUUGAACGCAUUCAAGGAGAUAUAUGUGGUCCAAUUCAAGCACUAUCAGGACCUUUUAGAUAUUUCAUGGUGCUCAUAUAUGCAUCUACUAGAUGGUCACAUGUGUGUCUAUUGUCCACACGAAAUCAUGCUUUUUCCAAGCUAAUUGAUCAAAUUAUCAAAUUAAGAGCAAAUCAUCCUAAAAAUAGGAUAAAAACAAUUCGAAUGGAUAAUGCCGCUGAAUUUUCUUCACGUGCAUUCAAUGACUAUUGCAUGGCUAUGGGCAUUCAUUUAGAACAUUUUGUGCCUUAUGUUCAUACUCAAAAUGGUUUGGCUGAAUCUCUCAUCAAAAGAGUAAAAUUAGUUGCUCGACCACUAUUACAGAAUUGUAAUUUACCAGCAUCAUGUUGGGCACAUGCGGUAUUACACGCCGCAGAUCUGAUACAAAUCAGACCAACUGCAUAUCAUACAACCUCCCCGCUACAACUAGUACGUAGCACUCAGCCAAGUAUUUCCCAUCUACGAAAAUUCGGUUGCGCAGUAUACGUACCGAUAUCACCACCGCAGCGUACAUCCAUGGGCCCCCACAGAAAACUAGGGAUCUAUGUGGGUUAUAACUCUCCGUCAAUAAUAAAAUAUCUUGAACCUCUUACAGGGGACCUGUUUACUGCCCGCUACGCUGAUUCAAUUUUUGAUGAGGACCAUUUUCAGGCAUUAGGGGGAGAAUCAAACCACAAAGAAUGCCAGGAAAUAGAUUGGAAUGUAACAGGCAUUCAGUCCUUAGAUCCACGUACUAAAGAAUCUGAAACUGAAGUUCAGAGGAUCAUAGAUUUGCAACAUAUUGCAAAUAAUCUGCCAGAUGCAUUUACUGACCAUAAAGGUGUCACUAAAUCACAUAUUCCCGCUGUUAAUGCACCAGAACGAGUGGAGGUACCAACUAAAACCACUCAAACCACAAAUGAGAGUAAGAGGGGGAGAAAUCUGGUUAGUCGGAAUAUAGCUUCUCAAAAGCCUCCGCGGAAACAGAGGAAAUCAAAUCCUCUACCAGUAAAUGCAAUUCAACCUCAAGUUGAAGGACACCAACCAGAUGCUCAACAUCUUGAACCUAGCAUAAAUGCGCAUAAAAACAUAAUUGCUGGGACAUCGGAACACCAUGGUUCUAUUGUUGUGGGAAAUCACAUAGAGUCUGAAGGUAUAAAAGAAAUUUCCAUAAACUAUACAGAAUCAGGAGAAUCAUAUAAUAGAGAGACUACAAUUGUCGACAUAUAUUUCGCCUCUAAAAUUGCUGAAACCCUUCAACUGGAUCCAGAACCAAAGACCGUCAGGGAGUGCCUCAAGCGUCCUGAUUGGCCUAAAUGGAAGGAAGCAAUUGAGGCAGAAGUGCGCUCGCUCAACAAAAGAGAGGUAUUUUCCUCGGUAAUACCUACUCCUCAUAAUGUAUUCCCUGUUGGAGCAAAAUGGGUUUUUGUUCGAAAAAGGAAUGAAAACAAUGAGGUGGUGAGAUACAAAGCGAGGCUUGUAGCACAAGGGUUCACGCAGAGGCCCGACAUCGAUUACGAUGAUACAUACUCUCCUGUAAUGAGUGGAAUAACGUUUCGAUACUUAAUAUCUUUGGCAGUACAAAUGAAUUUAUCUAUGCAGUUGAUGGAUGUAGUGACAACAUACUUAUAUGGGUCACUCAAAUCGGACAUAUAUAUGAAAGUCCCUGAAUGACUUAAAAUGUCGAAUCCAAAAGAAAAUCGCAACGCAUAUUGUGUAAAAUUACAAAAGUCACUAUAUGGCUUAAAACAAUCGGGUAGAAUGUGGUAUAACCGACUGAGUGAGUUCCUUAUUCAAAAAGGCUACUCAAAUAAUGAUGAUUGCCCUUGUGUAUUGAUAAAGAAAUCCUCAAAUGGAUUUUGCAUCAUCUCAGUGUACGUUGAUGACCUCAAUAUCAUGGGAAGUACACCUGAUAUCGAAGAAGCACACAAUCAUCUAAUGGCGAAUUUGAGAUGAAAGAUUUGGGAAAGACCAAAUUCUGCUUAGGCUUACAGCUUGAGCAUCUUCCCUCGGGAAUUUUAGUAUACCAACCUGCAUAUAUUCAAAAGGUUUUGGAAAAUUUUAAUAUGGAUAAAUCAUAUCCAACCAAAACACCCAUGGUUGUCAGAUCCCUUGAUAUGAAUAAAGAUCCUUUUAGACCUCGGGAUGAUGACGAAGAGAUAUUAGGACCUGAGUUCCCGUAUCUCAGUGCCAUUGGUGCGCUAAUAUACCUUGCAAAUUGCACCAGGCCUGAUAUUGCAUUUACAGUAAAUUUACUAGCUAGACAUAGCGCUGCUUCAUCAAAACGUCAUUGGACGGGAGUAAAGAAUAUCCUUAGAUAUUUACAUGGCACAAAGGAUCUUGGCUUAUUCUAUCAGAAAAACCAAGAUAUGACUAUGGUAGGAUAUACUGAUGCUGGCUAUCUAUCUGAUCCUCACAAUGUCAGGUCACAAACAGGUUUCGUAUUCUUAUAUGGUGGAACUGCUUUUUCAUGGAAGUCAACAAAACAGACUCUCCUAGCAACCUCCACUAAUCAUUCUGAAAUUGUUGCAUUAUUUGAAGCAUCUAAAGAAUGUGUAUGGCUUCGCAGGAUGAUUAACCAUAUUCAAACUUCAUGUGGUGUUGGUUCAUUAGGAUCACCAACUAUUAUAUAUGAAGAUAAUGCAGCCUACAUUGCUCAAAUGCAAAUGGGUUAUGUAAAAAGUAAUAUCACAAAACAUAUUUCUCCUAAGUUAUUCUAUCCUCAUGCAUUACAGAAGGAUGGAGAAAUUGAUAUUUUACAAACUAAAUCAUGUGACAAUCUAGCAGAUUUGUUCACAAAGUCUUUACCAAAUUCAACGUUCCAGAAAUACAUUCAUGGAAUUGGUAUGAGAUGAUUCCGAGAUUUGCAAAGUUCAGGGGGAGAAAUCUCCUGAAAAUAUAACCCUUUAAUUAUCAUCAGGUAAUGAAUAUUGUACUCUUUUCCUUUAUGAGUUUUUCCAACAGGUUUCUCAUAUAAGGUUUUUAACGAGACAAUUAAAUACAAGUAUUGAUGCAUGCCAUAUCAUAUUUCUCCUUAUAUUUUUCCUACUAGGUUUUAAAGGAGUUUUUUAUGGCACAUCUCAUUGCACUCUUUUCAUUAUGAGUUUUUUUGACAUUUUCUCUCAUAAUGUUUUUAAUGAAGCAAUAUCUUAUCAAUGAUCAUAUAUCAUACUUUCUAUUUUCCCUAUCGGGGUUUUAAAGGAAGUACUCAAGACAUAUAUUGUUCUCUAAACUCAAAAAUGAGUUUUAUCCCUAUAUAAAGGUUUUCUCAAAUGAGUUAUCAUGAGGCAAUAAUCAUUAUAUGUUGCACAAUUUUUUCCUUAUUAUUUUUCCACUGGGUUUAAAGGAGUUUUAGCAACAUAUCUACACUAUUGUCCUUAUAUUUUUUCCACAGGGUUUUUGGAGGAGACUUUAAAGAUUAUACAACGACUUUUCAAGAUGAAGAUGAGGAACAUUCUUAAAGAGAAAAAUUUACAAGGAUUAUUAUUUAUCAAGAUGAUGCACAUUUACACAGACAAGCAUGGAUUAGGGAGAGUGUUAGGAAUUAAUUAAAUGUAUUAAUUAAUGGGAUAAUCCCUGCGUUGCCGGUUGCCUUGUUUUAGCAACCGUUCCUUGUAAACCGCCUCUGUAACAAGGGUAUAAAUACCCACAUCUUCAAUCAAUGAAAACACUGUUCCAUCAUUCUGUCACUUUUACUACUUUACACUCUACUCCGUUCGUUGCCUCUCUCGCGGGAUGGGAAAGGGUGUGGUGGGCCACCAGGGCUCAGGCAAAAAAAAUUAUAUGCAUAUUAAAAAAAAAUCCUGGGGGUCUGGGUGUGCUGUGGCACACCCGCUGGGUCCGCCGAUGUCCGAAAGGGUAGAUUUCCUUCUUUUUUUACUGAUGAGAUAAGAGGAAAGCGGGGGAUGGACCCAUCGUCUACAUGCACACGCGUUCGUGCACCGGACCGCACCAUCAGAAAUCGUUAUGUACCAACAGAACAUAUGUGCAGUGUAUCGUGAUCACGUAUAAUACUGUCCCAUCAUCUAUAUCUUUUGCAGCUUAUACGAUGGCACUAAAUAUAUAUGCAUUGACGCGUCGUUGUUUUGUUUGUCUACAUACCGAGAGCAAGCGAGCUCGUGUGCUCUAUCCUCGCUCUCGAUAGUGGCUAGGCCAUUCAACCUCCAUGGCUAGCAGUCUAGACUUCACACUGCGGCAGCAAGCUAAAAGCAACUCCAACAAUUUCUCUGAAAUCCUUUCCGUAAAAGUGCUUUUACACGAUGUUUAUACAUUUUAGGGAAAGUUUUCUCAAAGUUAAUUUUGCCACAUCCCAUAAAGCUUGCCUAGUUUCUUGUGGUUUCAGCCGUGCAUGUAUAUUUAACUGUUGGUUUCUUGUGGUUUCAGCCGUGCAUGUAUAUUUAGCUGUUUUUUUUAAACGACUUUGCCUCAUCUUAUUAAUAAAGAAGAAGAGAGUUGCCCGAUUGAUUAAUGAAAAACUGGGCGAAAAUCAUUACAACACGUUCACACAGGACACACACGGCGACCUGACAACCCACAUAAAAACGCACACACGUAGCCGAGGAGAGAACACCGUUGAGGCUGCAAUCCGGUUUCAUCGCCAUCACACCUGCAAGGACGACUCCGACUCCAUCAUCGACGACCAUCAAUAUAAAAUAUAGCCCUCACCGUAAGCAAACGCCGAGGCCCACGCCGACCCCUUCCAAACAGUCAACCGCACACACCAACUACCAGACAGCUCCGACUCUGUCGACGAGAAUUGUAGGAGAAAAGCACUUAGCCUUAGCCGAGCCAGGGCUAGAACCGACCACCCGCCUUGCGUCAUUGUCGCCGCAUGACGCGAGACCCCUCCUCAACAGCUCCGACUCCAGGAAGACAAACUGAGGUGCAGCAACCCCCCCCCNGAGACCGACUACCAAAACUCAACAACAAACCAAUUCCGCCAGAAGCCACCAUUGUCACCGCACAAGAAGUUGCGCCAACCACAUCACCAGUCGGGCACCUGCCGACCACGAUGUCAUGUGUGUCCAGCUCCGUGAAAGCACGAAGGAAGCCAAUGACCCUCAAGGCAAUGCCCCCAAAGGGAUAGAGCGACGUGGGAGAACGACGCCAUCACCCGACUCACAUCCGAGUCUUUGGCUUUCGCCCGAUGGCAAUGGUCCGAAGGUGUUAGGCAAGGAAAGGGUCCACAAUGACCCUCAGGCAAAUUGUUACAUUUGUUGCAAAAUAAACAUAUGCACAAAAAUGCUCAUAUUUGCAAGAUAUGCCAGUAGAACAAAGCAUCGUGCAAGAUAUAACAGGAACGGAUGCAUUGAACAUCAAAAUCUUGGCCCAGACAUUCUUUUGUGUAACAUAAGCGCCACACACAGCGGUUCUAUGCAUAUCAAACUGAAACAUUUACCAUAUAGUAAAAUGUGACGAAAACAUUCUCUGCAUCAUCAUAUGAACAAUAGGAGAGAGCGAAAAGUUCCCAUGUCAGCCUUUUUGCCAACACUGAUGAAACAAGCACUGUGUUCAAGUAAACGACAAACAGACCUCAGCUCAGUCAGUUUGUAGAUGCAGACAUGGGCCUGCUGGUGCCUAAGCUCAGUGCCUAAUCAACCCCUAAGCAGCAGCAGCUCAUCAUAUAGCUGGAUCUUCUAAGUCAGCGGUGGACAAGUUAUUGAUUCGUGGAUACGCUGCCUUUUCGCUCAACUGGUUUUGAGUCCAAAUCAACAUCUUCAACAGGCUGGGGAGUUUCGGAUCUGCCAACAUGAACACAAAGAUCAAGGAUCUUCAAUAAAACAAAAAAAUCUGGCACAAGCAUGCUAGCAGUUUGAAAAAGCCCAAAGACAGCAACGAAACUUUCAUUCUGCUUAAAAUGUAUGAAUCGAUGGUACAAAAUCAAAACAAAGGCUUGCACAUCAUGCACUACUGAGGUGAAAAAGUUUGAAUUUCCGUGUUGCGAAUGUGAAUUUUAUUUUAAAAACUUGAAAAUAUUCAUCAUGAUUUCUUUCACCACAUCUCAAAAGAUUUUCAACAAGUAUCCCUACGCAGUUAUUUGACCUAUGUUUAUCAGUGUUUUCAAUAUUGAUUGCUGGUCACGCAUUAUCAGCUCAUGGGUUACCUGUUUUGAGCAUGACCGUACCUGCUUAUAUUAAUAUUAAGUCAGGUAACCUUUUGGUACAUCUAGUUUAAAUACACCAUGUUUUUGUUCAUAUUUCAGGAUAAAUAUAUACACUUGUCAGUCUGAUUUCCUUCUACCAAAGGGUUGCUUAUUCUAAAAUAAGGAAAUUGCUAUCAUUUCAUAUGGCACAGGCAUACAGGUACGCUUCAGUGACGAUAUACCAUAAAAAAGGUAAGCAAAUAAAAAGGGUAUCACAACAUAUACAUGCCUUAGUACGUACCUUUCUCAUGGCUUUGGCUUGUAAGAAUGGCAGCGUUAACUUCACUUGCUGUCUUCAAACGUUGAGAAACAUCCAGUAGUUCCCCGUAUGGGCAGUUUUUUACAUCUUCAAAAACCAAAAGCGCUACAGUUUUCUCUAUUUCCUCGAGAAAGGCUUCCUGCAAAAUUUCACAGACCAAAAGUAAGGUCACAGAAUGGUCUUAAAUGCAGUGGUAUUAACGGAAAAAAGUCAGCUAACAGGAGGAAUUGCAUUUUGAUUGAUGCAAUUUUGAACCCUGACUCUUAACUAAGGUAAGGGAGAUAAUUUGUUUCACUAAAAAUUACAUUUUCUUCGCCUCUUGGUGCGAGUUCUUCUUGAGCAAACUCCAAAGCUUCAGGUAUUUUCCCCACACGAAUCAACUCUAUCAGCUUUUGUUGCUGCAGAUGGAAGUAUAAUUCGGGAUUCGUAUCCAGAAUCUGCAUGUCAUAAGUUGAGUCAGGAUAGCAAGUCAAAAUUUAAUGAACCCCACUAUGAAAAACGCACAAUUGGAAUCUCGGUUAUAUAGAACUAACACAAAACUUCACUCAGCAGUAUACGAUAGAUCUAAAUAUACCACCGGCUGAAAAACGAGAAAAUGUAGUUUUCGCAAUCAAACGUAGAUGCAAUUUCUGAUACGCAUAUACCUAAGUUUCACAUAGAAAAAGAACAACUUCUAACCAAAAAACAAGCAUGGUCCAAAGACAAACCACAUCUAUCACCAGUACUGGAUUAACAAUUUGGUCUACUGUGACAUGUGAAAUUAAUUAUUGUUACACCAUUGCUCACCAGCAACACAUAAUGCAGAACCCAGAAUGUCCUUAGCACAUAGAUACAGCGAAGUGCCCAGAUACUGCAAGAUCAUCGCCCCCUUCUCCAUUCUUACUAAAAUUCUAAGCAACAAAUGCAGUCUUUCUUUUUCCUUCUGAAAGAAAGGGGUUUCCCCCCAGCCCCCACUUUAAUUAUGCAAUGGCCAAAACCGGACACAAAAGCAGUUUUCUUAAUCAAACAAAGAUGUAAUUUCUGAACCGCACAUUCAUAAGUUCUACUCAGAAAAAUAACAACUUGUAGCAAAAAGCAAGUAGGGUCCAAAGGCAAACCAAGUCGAUCAUCGGUACUAACACUUUGGUUAUUUCUCAGAUCUGAAAUUGGUUGUUACAUCAUCAGUUCAUCACCCACCAGUUAUCAGUAAACAUAAUGUGGAACCCCUAUGGUCGUUAUCACAUAUAUACAGGCAUACAGCAAAAUUAACCAAAACUGUCUCCUCCAAUCUUGUACUUUCCAGAAUCCAGAUAGCCCAACACCGAAAUAGGAACUGAAUUUGGGAGAAUGAGGGGCAGAAUGGAACCGUGGGGUUGAGAUCGUUGAUCCUCUCGACGGCCUCCUGGAUGUUCCCCGACUGAACCGCCUUCUUCACCUCCAUCCGGUCGGUGAUGGUCGCCAGGUCGAUCUCCGCUGCAACACGAAACCGCGCAUCGAUCAGACCUUGCACAGGGUGCCGUCACUAGGACAGCGAGCGAGAGGGGCUCGAGCUCGAUGCGUGUAGGCAAAGGCGUGGCGUACGGUACGUUGGGUGCCGGACUCGAGGCGGAAGCGGUGGGCGGCGUCGACGAGGCCCUCGGUGACGAGGAAGUUCAUCACGAGGCGGUUCAUGUCCUCCUUGCGGAUCUUGGCGUCCCGCAGCUUCCCCUCCCACUCGUCGCGCGUCACCACCUUCUUCGAGGUCGCCAUGGAGGGCGCGGGGCAGGAGCUGACUGCGCCGCGACGACGGGGAGAGGGAAACGGCGAGGGCAACAACGCGCGCGUGAGGCGGAGGUGUUUGGGGGCGUGGGGUGUGGGCGGGAGGGGGCGUCGGCGGUGAGGUACGGCGCGGCGGCGGGGCAAGGGCAGGCGGCGGUGGAGCGUGGAACCGUCCUGGGCUGGGUUAGGUUGGUAGGGUAAAACGAUGGUGGUUAUUAGGUUGGUAAUUUUCCUAUUCUUUCACAGGACGGGCCGGGCCUACCACCUGUACUUAACCGAUUUUCUUUUCUUUUUUCUGCUUUCCGUUUUCUGGUUUCUUUUUCUGUUUUUUCUCAAAUAACCAAAAAAAUAAAAACUAUGUUUAUUUAUUUUACUUAAAUUAUUGUUUUGGUAUUUGUGUUAAUAGUUUAUUAUUGCUUUGCUCAUCAGAUAAAAAAUCAAAAACAAAUGUCAGGUAUUAUUUCAAAAAACAUAUAAUGUGUAUGCAAAAAAUAAUGAUUUUUUACAAAAUAUAACAUGUGUAAGUAAGUAUUAAUAUAUUUCCAGAAAAUGUUCAUUGUAUAUUCUACAAAUCCGUAGCACGUAUUUUCAACAAUAUGAAGCCCAUAGUAAAAGGUUAUCUUAUAUUGAAAUUUUAAAAAAGCGCACCCUGUGUAAAAAAAAUUAAUCAUGUAUUUUUUAAUGUUCAUCGUGUAUUUAAGAAAUGAUCUUAAUUUGUUCUUCAGAGGUUGAUGUGUAUAUAAAAAAUGUCAUCACAAAUUUCAAAAUAUUCAUAUUUUUAUACAAAAAAGAGUCUCCAUGUAUUUUCACUAAAUUUAAGAACUUUGCUUUCAAAUUAUUAGAAAUCUUUUGAAACAGGCUCCUGGUGUGUCCCAGUACACAUUCGUCGUAGCCAAUAUAAGCUUCUACCUCGCUACAACCUGCAACGUAUUUGAGAGCAACUAAUGGACAAGCACCCCUUCGAAAGCCUCCGAAGGAUCAUGCAGAGAGCGCGUCGCUUGGCGCACUCUCAGCGUCCGCCACAUGUCAUGCUCUGGAGGCUACCUCUGUAUAUUUUUCUUUUAUUUUAUUUUGCAUNGUGACAGGCACAGAUUUCCUUUCGUGAAAGGCAUGAAUUUGCUUCCGUGAAAGGCAUGAUCAUCCCUUUCGAAAACAAAAAAAUGUAUAUUUUUCUCUUUCAUGAGAGGCAUUGUUGUGCCUCCUUUUUGUCUCUGUUUUUCUUUGUAUUUUCAUGAAUUUUGUUUUGUCAAAAACUAUUUAAAAUUGAUCCAUUUUGAUAAAAUCUCAACACGUGAAUUCCGACAAUGAAAAUGGUUCAUGAUUUAGAAGCAUGGUUCAAAAAAUAAAAACAUUUUUAAAAAGUGAAUCUAAAAGAAUCAUAUUGAGACAAAUGGCGCAUAUACAAUACACUACUUGCGAAGGCGACAAAAGAUAAUAAUGACCUUUGCAAGCGGUAUCCUUUAGUUUUUACUAUGGAAAAUCGAUGCGUUAAGACAACGACGGAUCCAACAACGACCAACCGAGCAUCAGAUAGCUCAGCCCACAUGGCCCUAAUAUGCAAUGACUAUAGCUCACUGGGAGAUGAGAUGUCCAUAGCUCCUAUUUGGCGCGUAAGCUGUUGUAUAGUGACCUUGCGCAUAUACACCCCACCCCCUGUGCGGUGAUGCGCAGCUGACCAGUGUAUGGAUCGGCCCGCUCUGGUUUUGUCCAUGCAAAAGGGUCUAGAACAUACAUGGAAUUUGUUUUUUCUCUCUUUUUCUAGUUUUAUUUCUUUCAUCUUUUAUGUUUUCCUUAUGAUUUAUGUUUCUAUUUUUUGUUGUUGUUGUGUUUGUUUUUAUUUCUUUUUAUUUUUCUUUCUUUUUUAUCUCGCGAACAUAUUUCAAAUUCCUUAUCAUUGCUUGAAAUAGUGAAUCAUUUUAAAACCAUAAACAUUUUUCGAAUUGGAGACCAUUUUAUAGAAACCAUGAACAUUUGUUUGAAAUAGUGAACAUUUUUUACAAACUCAUAGACAUCUUCUCAAGUCAUGUUCAUCGUGUAUUAAAAUAAGUGUUUUGUAUAUAAGAAUUUAUAUGAUUUGUUGAAAAUGUUGCCUGGGUAUUUGAAAAAAUAUUAUUAUGUAUUCAAAAUAUUGAACAUGUAUUUAAAAAUGUUUAUCUUGUACUGUAAAUGUUCAUCAUGUAUUAAACAAUGUCCAUCAUAUAUAUAUAAAUUACUUACCAUGUUUUUUGAAAUAGUUGACAUAUUAAAAAAACAGUCAUGCAACGGCUAGUUCCGCAUCACAAUAUGCCCGGCGUCCUAACAUCAAUAGUGAUUAUCUUUGGUGGGCGCACAUGCAUGAUUUUAGAAAGAUACGUUGUCUAGAUAAUGUUUGAAACACACCAGGGGUUGAAAUCAUGGCCUGUGUUGGUAGGGCUCAACAGAUGCGGACUUGCGUCGUUAAUUUAUUGAAGACGUUGUCUCAGUGAUGGCGCUGGCGGUGGCGGUGGCGAGGUGUAUCAUUUUACGAAGACGUUGUCGCGGAAGAAGUUGACCUAGUCCUAGGUGGUACAUCCAUAUAUUGUACUCCCUCCGUCUCAUAAUGUAAGAGUGUUUUUCGAUACAUGUAAAAAAAACGUUCUACCAUUAUGGGACGGAGAAAGUAAUGCUUAUGCGGUCUUUGAUUUUUUUGAUUUUUUGUAUGUACUUCAUUUUUUUGAUCACUUUGACCUUGCUCCUUUGUGUUAACUUAAAUAAAAGAUGGUUGCCUGUAUCAGUUGUAGAUGUAAGGGGGUUCCAACUCCACCUUCAUGAGAAAAUACAUCUCACUUUCUGUUUGUUUUUUUUUUUGUUUUUUUUUUUUACUAUCUAGUCUAGGAUAAAAGAACCUCUCACUAAGACUGGAACUAUUUUGGCAUCCCCAAUGGCACAAGUACGGGGGGAAUUAUGAUCGACGACGCACAAAGGAAGGUCAAAGGCUCAGCGAGUUAGUUAAUCCAGCAGCAGCAAUGAGCAUGUGCUUCUUCGCUUCUCUUGCUUUGCUGCUGUUGGAAUAACAAAACAUGAGUCUUAAAGUAGAGCUACAAAAUGGGAGCCCAGAUGCUGCUGCGCCUGCACAUGGACGAAUCGGCGGCACCGACAGAACGGAGUACUCCAUCCUACGUAGGGUAUGCUCGAUCGUGCUGGCCAUGUACUCGAUGAACAUAAUGUAUGUAGUACGUGUACGUACGUAUAAGGAUUCCACGCAAAUGGUACUGAGUAUUAAGAAGCGACUAGAUUAGUUAAGGUAGCUUAAUCAGCAUUGUACUUGAUUAGUUAAGGAUGGGCCCUUCCCCACGUACGUACGCAGCAGCUUCUAAUCAAGUGCGAUUAAGCCAAGUGAUCCACGGCCGAGAGGGUUUUGUCUGAUGCGAGAGCUGGCGACCGUGCCCUGUCAGUUUUGUCUGAUGCGGGUCUUUUCCUAUAUAAUCGAAUCGCAGAUUGACACUUUUCUGCCGAAAGAAAUGCAGGAGCUGGGCAGUAACCGGGCCUACAAGCAGUUUGCAAAUCUCUACUAAUAAAGGGGGCAGUUGGUAGCUGGAUCUCACCGGUUUAAUUUCGUCACUGGUUAAUUUUCGUCCACCUCUACCUGGUUAUUUUUCGUCCACCUCUACCUGGUUAUUUUUCAUCUCUCUUUCCACCAACUGUUGUUUUUUUUUUUUGUCUCUCCUUCCACCAAAGGAUGGUUUUUUUUCGUCUCUACUUUCUCAUCGGUUAAUUUUCGUCUCCUGAUUUUUGACCAGCCACCGGUUUAUGUUUCUAUCUCCUCCCGCAAAACAAAACUCUUUGCACAAAACAAACGCCAGUCCUCAUCCCGCACAGGGUUAGGGUUCCUGUGCCGCCGCCGCCGCGCUCCUCGACCUCCUACUGCCUUGCCCCUCUCUUCCCUCGACCUCCAGGAACCGCCACGCUCGACGAUCUCUUGCAGGCGGCCCUGCACCGGCUCCCGCCCGCGAACGUCGCGUGGGCGUCCUGCUUCUGCCGCCUCUGCCGCGCCGGCGUUUCCGACCGCGCCGUGCUGGAGGCCGCCUUCCAGGCGUGCUGGGGCGUGCGUCGCGACAACAAAGUGAACCAACGUCGUCCUCAACCGCCUCCUUCGUGAAUCGCCGACGUCGUCAAUCGCCUCCGUCCAUAACUAUCGCUGCCGGUUUGAACCAGCCGUCGCCGGUCAACCGCCGCCGUAAUUGCCUUCUGUUUUCUCUAACUAAUCUAGGUAUUUGUACAGACCUAUGUACGCCCUUUUGUCCGAAUACAUCUGAGCCGGAUCUACAUAUGGUGUCGGAUCUACAAAAUUUCAUACACAAAUAUAUGCCUCAAAUCUGCCUUACAGUACAUAUGGACGUUUUACGAGCGCGGGUGCAUCUGGAAAUUUCUUCGUCUCUUCAAACUUUACUCUGCAUACAACAAAUGACGACUUCCUUUAUCAAUAGCAGAUAUGUUUUCAAAAAAGUUUUCAUCGAAAAAACAACAAGGAGAAAGCUUUUUAGCAGGCAACACUGAUCUGGUUUAGUUUACCGCUCUUAAGCAUGCAUUCAUUGUAGGUAUGGGGAAUUCAAAAAGCAAGGCUAUUGGAGGUGACAACGUUUCAGAUGUCUCUACAGGUAUAUGCUACGCUAUGAAGUUAUAAGCUCUUCAAAAUGAAUUGUACCUACAAGUGUAUUCAUUUCAAUCAACUAUCCACAUUUUAUAUCGCCUAAUGAAUGGGUCUUUGUGGUCUCAUCCUAGCUAAUUUUGUAGUUAUUUAAUCCUUCCCUACAAGUUAAAUAUGUACCUUUUACCACUGUUCGGAACCUCAUGGAUCUUAUUCAGUUUAAAUAAUUUAUCCCUUACAACCACAUAUUUUUGAACUGCCAAAUAGUUUUACCUUGCAGCUUAUCAGUUCAUCUUCCGAAUAGGCAUCACUUUCCAAAGCAUCAUGUAAUUCAUUAAUCUUUCCACUGGCAUAUGAUUUACCAAUAUCAGAAACCUGCAAGCACGGGUACUUAAGUCAGCCCAUAUUUCAAAUUGUGAUGCAAUGGUGCUCCAGUCGCACAGAUAAAAACUUUCUGAAUACAAUAACCUGAUCUACGGCUUCCUUGCAAAGUAGCAUUUUAUUUUUUACUUGCAGUAUGCAAAUAUUUGCGCUAAGAGUAUUAUACACCAUGUUAACUGCGACCUAUGAAACAUAACAGUAAGGGAGAAAUAUUACAGAUUCAUAUAUCUGAAAAUUUUCAGAAAGUGGCCAGUAUUUUUGUCAGGUUGGGCUGUUCUUCAGCAUUGUCUUCCAAGCAAGAGUAUGCUAAUUGCAUACUCUGAUUUGCACCAGAAGUACGAGCCUCGUCUGCGAAGGAGGAAUCCAUCACAGACAUGAAGUCCCUUUGUCUAAUAUUGUCAACUGCCUAUUAGAACAAAGCCAAGUCAAUCCUUUCCAUAGAUAAUGUUCAAAGUAACAUACCAGUAGUCAUAUAUUACUUCUAAUGAGAAGACACUGGUGUAAUUCCACAGCAAAAUCAGUUUCUGUAAUUAUGUUGAUGGAAUAGCUAACGUCGGAAAUGUACAAGAUCUGAUUGAGCUACCCAUUCAUUGUAGGUAUGGUGAAUUCAAAUAGCAAGGCUACUGAAGAUGACAAAGUUUCAUAUGUAGCUACAGGUAUAUGGUACGCUAUGAAGUUUACCUACAGGUGUAUGCAUUUGAAUCAACUUUCAUAAAUUAUCCUUCUAAGAUCCUGAACUUGAUGCGCACAUCAAUACCAUAAACUAAACGGAGACAAAAAUGCAGGUAAGGAAAACAGUGGUAACUUAUUAAAUAGGUAACAUCAAUCUUUACUGAUGUCUUGGAAUGAUUAGUAUCGGCUGUGAUUAUCGAUUAACUUGACGAGGAAUGGGCCUAUGGCCUUAUGCGAACCACUCGAAAAAUAUUAUGAGAGGAAUCCCAGAAUGUAGAUGUGGUGGACAAUCUCCGUGCAGCCUGCUCAACAUAUAAUCUGGAGCCUUUGUGGUCUCAUCCGAGCUAAUUUUGUAGUUAUUUAUUCGUUGCCUACAACUAUCACAUAGUAUUCAUUAGAAAAUCAUGAAGAUUAAUAGUGAACAACAUGAAACUAUGAAUAACAAACAAAUAAUGGUAGGAUUUCUCUAACAACUUGCUACAUAUAUGUUAGUAUCUCUACUCCUAAAGUGGCAGUUGCAAGCUUCUUAUACUGUCAAAUGGAACAGGUGAUUUUAUAGAUCAAGGCAUGCAUGCUGAUGAUGACGAUGCUGAUCAAAUUAAUAUAGAUGUGGCAAAUGUUGAUGAAUACAACGCAAAUGGCAUAGCCGUAGAUGACAAUGAUGACAAUGAAUACUCUACUGGACCAGGUAUUUGUUUUGCUAUAAAGUUCAGAUGUUCAUUUAUACCGCCUACUUGUAUGGGCCUUUGUGGUCUCGUCCGAGCUAAUUUUGUAGUUAUUUUAAUCGUUGCGUACAAGUUAAAUAUGUAGCUUUUACCAAUGUUCUCAACCUCAUGUAUCUGAUUCAUUUUACAGUUCAUAGUCAUGCAAAAUGAUGGAUCUGAUAGGGCUGACCAUUCAUUGUAGGUGUGGGGAAUUCAAAAAGCAAGGCUACUGAAGAUGACAUAGUUUCAGAUGUAGCUGCAGGUAUAUGCUACGUUAUGAAGUUAAGCUCUUCGAAAAUAUUAUGCUACAUGUCUCAUCCGAAGCUAGAAAAUUUAAAGAUGCCAAAUAUAAUGAUUUACUAAAAAACAAUAUACAUCUAUAAUCGUUAGCAUAGUUCUUGCAUAAUAUGUUUUUGAGGAUGAUGGAGUAUCUCUUGCUGAAAUAGCCACCCCAACUAACAUGACAGGAGGAGUUGUCUUGGAUAAUAGCAAAGAAACAAGACAAAUACCUCCAAUUGGCCGCAAAAAGGCUCCUACUGACGAACAAAGGGAUCGUAUAAACGCAAAGAGGCGGGCUUCUUAUCUGAAGAAGAAAGAUAUGCUUAACCCAAACGAGAAGACAACUCACCAAUCGACGACAGGUAAGAUUGUGAUAUGUUUCGUCAUUCUUUUUAGUAUGAAAAUGUGCUGCCUUAUUCUGGAAUGCUAACUCUCAUGUCGCAGGCCUCUUUAAUGAUAUCAGGAAUGUUCAUCAACCUUGCCAUGUGAUAGGAGGUACACUUUUCGUAUGAAAAUUUAUGUUUCAUCUUUUCGAUAGCACUACAUGCGUUAUUUUUCGUAUGACACCACGAGCUGACAUGGAAAGUAUUAAACAAACAAGGCAGACACCGGCAAUUGGACGCAAUGAAAUGUUGAGUGACGAAAAAAAUAAGCUUAUACCCUCAAACAUGCAAGCUUGUUAUGAUGCAUCGUUGUCGUUAUCAUGUACCCUUAAUCAAGAUGAAAAUGUGGAUCCCCUUACGAUAUCAGGUAGCCUUCUCAUCUAUUUUAAGUUUCAACCUAAUGAUAAAGCAUUAUACAUGGGUACUGUCUUUUUAGUAAAAUGGAUUGUUUCCUUUGUUCAAAUAGCUAACCCAACUAAUAUGACACACCAACUAACAUCACAGGAGGAGCUGUCUUGAACAAUAGCAAAGAAACAAGGCAAAUACCUCCAAUUGUCCGCAAAAACACCUUGACUGAAGAACAAAGGGAACAUAUAAACGCAAAGAGGCGGGCUUCUUAUCGGAAGAAAAAAGAUAUGCUUAACCCAGACGAGAAGACAACUCACCAAACGACGACAAGUAAGAUUGUGAUAUGUUUUGGUCAUUCUUUUUAGUAUGAGAAUGUGUUGCCUUAUUCUGGAAUGCUGACUCUCAUGUCACAGGGCUCUUUAAUGAUAUCGCGAAUGUUCAUCAACCUUGCCAUGUGAUAGGAGGUACACUUUUCGAAAACAGUCUAUGGGUUCUCUUAUGUAGGUUGUUGAUGGACGAUAAAAAUUUAUGUUUCAUCAUUAUGAUAGUACCACAUGCGUUAAUUUUCGUAUUACACCAGGAGGUGACAUGGAAAAUAUUAAACAACCAAGGCACACACCGCCAAUUGGACGCACUGAAAUGUUGAGUGACAGAAAAAAUAAGCUUGUAACCUCAAACAUGCAAGCUUGUUAUGAUGCAUCUUUGUCAUUAUCAUGUACCCUUAAUCAAGAUGAAAAUGUGGAUCCCCUUACGAUAUCAGGUAGCCUUCUUAUCUAUUUUAAGUUUCAACCUAAUGAGUUAGCAUUGUACAUGGGUACUGUCUUUUUAGUAAGAUUGAUUGUUUCCUUUGUUCAAAUAGCUAACCCAACUAAUAUGACACAAGAAGUUGUCUUGAAUAACACCAAGGAAACAAGGCAGAUACCUCCAGUUGGGCUCAAAAAAAAAUUGACGGACGAACAAAGAGAGCAGAUAAACGCAAAGAGGUGGGCUUCUUAUCGAAAGAAAAGAGAUAUGCUUAUAGGAGAUGAAAAUCUUGCUCCACAUACAAUGACAAGUAAGCUUGUGAUAUGUUUGUGAAUAUCGUAAUGAUUUAUGAAAUGUGAUUAUUUUUGGCAUAUGUUUUCAUUGUAUUGUAUAACCAUCCAACCCAGCUAGAUGCGGUGUUACAUCAUCCUCACAUGACGAUGCAGCGUUGUCAUUAUCAACGACACUCAAUCAUUAUGAAAAUGUGUCUCCCCUUACUAUAUCAGGUAGCGUUGUUAACUAUUUUAUGUUUCAUCCUAAUGAUGUAGCAUUGCACUUGAAUAAUGUAUUUUCCAAGUAUGAUGACAUAUUCUUGUUGAAACAUGACAACAGGGGUUGUCUUGGAUGACACCGAAGAAAUUAGGCUAAUACGUCCAGGUGGAUGCAAUAAAAACUUGACUGUCGAAAAAAGGGAGCAGAUAAAUGCAAAAAGACGGGCUUCUUAUCAGAAGAAAAGAGAGAUGCUCAUCGAAGAUGAAAAACUUACUCUCCAUACGAUAUCAAGUAAGAUUGUACUAACAUCUUUUUACUUCCUAAGUCCCAAAUGUUUAACAACGCCCGCUCUAUAUCUUGUAAAUAAUGAAUUGAUGAACAUGUCAUCUCACUUGAUGAUGCAGCAUCGCGUUCUUCAGCUACACUAAGACUGAUGAAAAACUGACACCCCUUACGGUAUCAGGUAAUUUUAUACCAUGCUAUAUGUUUCCUGACAAUGAUUUACCGUAAUUUGACUAUAUUCAAGUUUCUUCAUUAUAUUUGAAAAUAAUUCGAGAUGAAUGAUGACAUAUUAUUUGUUGAACCAGACAACCCAAUUAGCUCCAGCUAUACAUCCUUCUCAAUUGACGAUGCAAUGUUUCGUGCUUCAAACACACUCGCAUGUGAUGACAUUCAUGAGGAAUAUCUAGCUCGCCAUAUACUACAUUCUUCCAUUACACCUGAAGUUGUGUUCAAUAGCACCAGUGAUUUUGAAUCAGCAAACCCUACUAAGUACAACAUUGCAUCAUUAUUGACUGAGGAUGAAAAUUUGCCUCCAUCAAGUUCACAAUAUGAUAGUGCUCGUCAUAAAACCCUAGCCAAGAGGACUUACGAUAAAGAGCGCAAUUCUAAAUUAACAAUCGAGCAGAAGGAUCAUGAUAACGCAAGGAGACGAGCUGGUAAACAGAAGAAACGGGAAGAGGGCACAAUCAAUGUUCAAGAGCAAAAUCAAAGGCAACGAGAGACACGCAUGGAGCGCCGGAAAAUUAUGACUUCCGAUGAGAAGGUGCGGUCAAGUGCAAAGAGAAAGGGAAAUUACCAUAGAAUAAAAACACCCCAUCCAUAGAAUCUAUCGCAAUGCCACGGCCAGAUGUUCUGGCUCUAUCUGAUUCCGCCCCAUCAAUUACCAUUCUGUCUUACACCGUCGGAACCGAUGGUAAAAAUUUGUUAUUGUCACAAUCUUUAGAACAAAAUUUUGCUUUACCCUCUUUUGCUUACUAUCUCUACGAUGUUGCAGAAGAUAUGGGGGCAUUCAUAAGCACCAUCGUGGACGAUGAUACGAUAUCAUCCUCCUUCAUUGAUGAUGAGUAUUAUCUGUUUCGCUCGCAAGGUAUCGUUUAUGGUGAAUUAGGAGAUAGUUUGACUUUUUUGAAAUAUCUGUUUAUGCUGCUCUGAGUGCGGUGUUUGAACAAAUGCAAAUAGGAUUCGAUGAUGAUAGCCAUGAUGGAGAUGAAGUCACGAACAUGUCUAGCGCUGAGUCUGUUGACAUUGAUCCGUUCGACUUUGUCUACUCAAACCUCCCAGAUAGAACACACAUCCUGAAGCACGCCAAGAACCGCGACCACUGCAAGGCCAAGAAGUUUGAGUCUCAGACCGACGGUUUCUGUUGUCGCAAUGGGCAGAUUGAGCUCAAGGAACCAGAUCCCAUCCCCGAGCUAAUGAGGCUUUGGUCCAGCAUGGAUGCAGACUCUAGACACUUUCGGGAAAACAUACGAUUCUUUAAUGGACACUUCGCAUUCACAACCCUUGGUGUCAACCUCGAUGAAAACUACACAAACAUGAAGUCUGGUGUGUACACUUUCAGGGCGCACGGCACCAUCUACCACAACGUGCAUUCCUUCGGGCCAUGCUCACGUCCAGAACAUCUCCAGCUGUACUUCUAUGAUGACGACCCAAACCUGACCCAUCGCAAGGUUGCCACCAAACAAUUGGACCAGAAUGUCGUCAAGGUGUUAGUGGACAUACUACGUGCAAACCGUACUCACAACAAUUUCGGAGUUUGGGUGCACACAAGGAUCACCUCGAUGAUUACAUGAUAGACCUCAACACCGACCAGAGGCUUGACCAACGGAGAUAUAAUAGGCCAAUGUCAUCAGAGGUAGCUGCAAUCUGGGUCGAGGGCGCCGACGUAGCGAAAAGGUUUGAUCGUAGCAUUACACUUUUCGGUAAUGAUAAUCACAGGCACAGUAUAGGUGUCAUUGAUGGCUCUUACGACCCGUUGUCCUAUCCCCUAUUCUACCCUUGUGGGGAGCUCGGUUGGCAUCCAAAACUGCCUAAACGUAAUGUCCCUUGGGAGGUUGUACAGCAACCAAGAAGGUGGCAUGAUAAUGAGGAGGAUGCAGGUAGCCUUUUUCUUUAUUAUGUUAUUAUGAAAAUAAUAUAAGACUCAUAUGUAUACUAACUAAAGGUGCUACAUUACCUGUUGCAGAGGGUAAUAGCAGGUUAUGCGUGUCCGUGAGAGACUACUACUGUUACAGACUGCAAACACGAACUGCUAUAUUGAAUCCCAUACUUUGUGGAGCACGAUUGCUCCAACAAUGGGUGGUCGACAUGUACAUCAAGAUAGAGAGUUGUAGGUUGAGAUGGUACAGAAAGAACCAAACAAAGAUCCGUGCCGACCUUUAUAAAGGAGUUGUUGAUGCUAUCACUCCUGGGGAGACACGAGCGAGCGCUGUCGGAGUAAGGAUAGUGCUCCCUGGAACGUACCCUGGUGGCGACCGUGACAUGAAACGGAGGCAUACGGAUGCCAUGUCAAUUGUCCAUACAUAUGGGAAGCCUGACAUCUUCUUGACCAUGACCUGCAACCCUAAAUGGGAAGAGAUAUCGAACGAGCUGCUUCCUGGUCAGACAGCUCAGGACCGACCUGACCUUGUGGCUCGCGUGUUUUAUGGCAAGCUAGAGGCUAUGAAAGAGUUGUUGUUCAAAAAGCAUAUCCUGGGUGUUGUUGUUGCGUAUGUAUACGUAGUCGAGUUCCAAAAAAGAGGCCUCCCCCACGCACACUUUCUGUUGAUCAUGGAUGCAUCAUAUAAGCUCGUCGUCCCGGAGCAAUACGACCGAGUCAUUUCCGCUGAGCUCUCGGACAAGCAUAAGUAUCCAGAACUCUAUGCCUUGGUGGUCAAACAUAUGAUGCAUGGUCCAUGCGGUGCUCUCAACCCCAAUAAUGUGUGCAUGCAACAAAACAAGUGCAAGUGCAGAUACCCUCGGGCAUUCAAUGAAAACACGGCACAGGGCAAGGACCAUACCCAGUUUAUCGACGUAGAGACGACGGGCAUAGGGCUAAGGUCCGGGGUAAAGUGUUGGACAACAGGUGGGUAGCGCCUUAUAACCCUUACCUUUUGCGGAUGUUCAAUUGCCACAUCAACGUCGAGGUCUGCUCGAGCAUAAAGGCCGUCAAAUACCUCUACAAGUACAUAUACAAGGGCCACGAUAGGGCUUCUUUCAGCAUCGACCAGCCGGACGCCGAUGGAAUCAUUGAUGAGAUCAAAAGAUAUGUCGACGCGAGGUGGGUUACUCCUCCGGAGGCCAUGUGGAGAAUAUUUGGCUUCUCCUUAUGGGGGAACUCCCCGUCUGUCCUACAGUUGCCUCUUCAUCUUCCGAAUAUGCACAUGGUGGCAUUCAAUGAGCAAGCUGACUUGACCAAUGUCCUCGCCUCUGAGAAUGCUUCAAAAUCCAUGUUGACGGAGUAUUUCAAGGCUAACCAAGACCACCCGUGGGCUAGGCAUAUAUUAUACAAGGAUUUUCCUGGGAGCUUCACAUGGCAGAGAACAAAGUAUUGGAAGCCACGGGUGGAACGUUAUCAAAUAGGGCGGAUCGUGUCUGCCAAUCCAGCCGAGGGGGAGCGAUACCAUCUGCGUGUAAUACUAAACCAUGUCGCGGGCAAGACAUCCUUCGAAGACAUGCUCACCUGGAUGGCAUUCUAUGUGGUAGCUUUCGUGAGGCUGCAGAGAGGUUGGGACUCAUUGAGGCAGACAACACGCUUGACGAUUGUCUUACUGAGGCGGAGCAGUGGGCGAUGCCUUGUUCGCUCAGGAGGCUUUUCGCAACAAUCUUGGUGCAUUGCGAGCCGGGCGAUGUGCGCGGUUUAUGGGAUAGGCACUUUGAGCCUAUGUGUGAUGACUAUCGUCGAGCACACAAGUGUACAAAUGAUGUGGAGCAGAUGGUGUUGUUGGAUAUUAGAGGUAUAUUGCAGUCCAUGGGGAAAGACAUUGUAGAUUUCGCUCUUCCGUGCAUUGACGAUGAGUUCGACCCGACCGGUGGCGAGGCAAGAGAGGUGAUUGAGGAGUCCACCGUCGAGUUUGACGUGAACGACACAAAAUUGGCUUCGUCACUAAACUUGGAGCAGAGGGUUGCAUACGACGAGAUACUAGCAGCAGUUGACCGCAGUGAUGGAGGUGUAUUCUUUGUUGAUGGCCCAGGAGGUACAGGGAAGACCUUUUUGUACAGGGCGCUACUCGCCAAGGUUCGGAGCAAGGGCAACAUCGCUAUCGCUAUCGCGACUUCUGGCGUCGCCGCUUCUAUCAUGCCUGGAGGAAGGACUGCCCACUCGAGGUUCAAGAUCCCAUUGAGUUGCGAUGAUGGUGCCUCAUGCAGCUUCGCCAAGCAGAGUGGGACCGCAAAGCUACUAAGGAUGGCUUCGUUGAUACUAUGGGAUGAGGCCACCAUGACUAAGCGACAGGCGGUCGAGGCACUUGACAAUAGCAUGCGCGACAUCAUGGGAAGACGGGACCGACCCUUCGGAGGAAAGACAGUUGUUUUCGGCGGCGACUUCAGGCAGGUGUUGCCGGUCGUCAGGAGGGGGUCCCGCAGUCAGAUAAUCGAUGCAACCCUUUGAAGUUCUCACCUCUGGAAGGGUAUGCGACAGCUAAGGCUCGUCACCAACAUGAGGGCUCAUAAUGACACAUGGUUUGCGGAUUACUUGCUUAGGGUAGGCAAUGGCACCGAGGAAGCUGACGAGCAUGGCAACAUACAGCUCCCUGAAGAUAUUUGUGUGCCAUCUACAGGCGAGAUGAACGACAUGGAGAAGUUGAUUGACCAUGUGUUUCCUGGUCUAGAUGAAAACAUGUCUGAUCCCAAUUACAUGACUUGUCGUGCAAUCCUCUCCACCACAAACGACAACGUUGACAAGAUAAACUUACGCAUGAUAGAUCGUUUUAAGGGUGAAGAAGUAAUAUACCAUAGUUUUGAUAGUGCACAGGACGACCCGUAUGGCUACUACGCUCCUGAGUUCCUGAACGGAUUGACCCCCAACGGGCUUCCUCCACAUGCACUCAAAUUGAAGCUGAACUUCCCUGUCAUACUUUUGAGGAACAUUGAUCCGGCUAAUGGACUAUGUAAUGGCACUAGGCUUGUUGUUCGAGGUUUCGAGAGGAACGCCAUUGAUGCAGAAAUCAUGAUUGGACAACAUGCUGGUAGGAGGGUAUUACUUCCUCGGAUACCCCUAUGCCCAUCUGACAACGACAUGUUUCCAUUCAAGUUCAAGAGGAAGCAAUUUCCUUUAAGGCUUAGCUUUGCUAUGACAAUUAACAAGGCGUAAGGACAGACCAUCCCGAUUGUCGGUGUGUACCUACCUAACCCGGUGUUCUCUCAUGGUCAACUUUAUGUCGCGCUGUCUCGAGCCACCGCGAAGAGAAACAUAAAGAUCCUCAUUGAGAAGGAGAAGGACAAGGGAAAGAAACAGACCAAUAAAUCAAAUAAGCGAAAAAGACCCACGCUAUGCUUACAAAGGACGAUGAAGAAUAUCGUCUACAAGGAAGUCCUUACAAGCUGAAGUUUAAUGUUUCUGUGCUUUUCUCUUAUUUCUCCUUUCCGUUUUAUUUUCAUAUAUUGUUAGUGCAUUUAGAUUUCAUGAAAAAAAUUAGUCAAUAAUUAUCUAAUGUGUAUGCUGCUGCACUAACUUUCAUGAUUAAAAAGUUAUCAAUUGUGAUUAAAUAGUUCUGAUUGAGCAUAUAAUUCAAAGAAUGGUCGAGUCAAAGCGGAAGAGUGCCAAUGCACUAGGUUAGGGAGAAGGUGUGACCUGUGUAGAAAAUUUACAUCGUUAUAGAAUCCAUGCACAUAUCUUCUCCCGAAAAUGACUUUUUUGUAAUGAACCCAAUGGAGGAGUAACCUGAUAGAGCCAACGGUAAUUGUUAUUUGCUUAUAGAUAAUUUAUCACAAGAAACUAAAAACUUAGGCUGCGCAUGUGUUUAACCCAAGCAUGCACAUCAAACUGACUUUGCACCAUGUUCAGCCAUCUCAUAGCGAAGUAUUAUUUCAGUACCUCAACACCUGCAGUUUUUACCAUAAAAAACCUCAUAGUACAAAAGCACGAGAAAAAAAACUUUUGAAGGAGAAUGUUCAUAGGAAGAGUCUAUUGUAGCAUGUGCAAACUGUACUUCCUAUUAUACCAUGGUGUUCACAGUAAUGUUUUUAAUGCAUUUCUUAUGUUAUGUAUAAUAUGUUACGAUUAGCGUUCUCAGCAAUUCAUUGAAGGAUGUAAACUAAGAAGUCAAAUGCAUAUAAGAUAUAACAGUAGUCACGUUAUGUGAAGGAAACUGACUGGGAGUGACCAACCUUACCUCAGGUAACUUCAAUGAUGUAUAACUUGUGAAUGUGUGAACCUCUUAUGCCUUGAAUCUUCCAUACAAGCAAUAUAAAAGAGGAUUGUGGUUGCCAAUCCAAUCAUCUGCAGCGGACAAAGUUUUGUGAAAGUAGGCUAGCAUUUUGUAUAUGGUUAAAAUACUUUGUCCCUUAAUAACAUGAAUAAACUGUGAUAUUUAAUUAUUCAUAGAAAUAUAUGUGAGCAUCUUAUUAAAUGAAUAAUACUCUUAAGGCAAGAAUAAUAAUUUAUGAUGCUGAUCGUACGUGGAGAAUACAGAGAUUGGCCAUGUAGUCUUCAUUGCCUAAUAGGUUAUCAAUUUUAUUUUCGGCGGCUUCGUGAAGAUGGGUCAGAUAUGUUACUUCAGCAAAUUAACCUUCCUAACUAAAAUACAGUACACCACUCAUUUCAGAUUUCCACCACAAUAUUGGCAAACAUCGCUUGCAGCUUUGUGAUCAUCGGUUACCGUAUUUUAGUUACAUGAACAUAGGUUAAUUCCAAAUGUUUUCAUCAGUGGAAUACAAUGCAAGAAUUCCAUUCCCAAAAUGUUGGACAAUUUUUUUUGCUAUAUAUCAACUAUGCAUAAUACACUAAUGAGUGCAACAGUCUGACAGAUGGACGAGACCGAUGAGAUACACUAUCAAGAACAAACUAUUUUAAUUCUCUAACGAAGUAUGAAUAGAGAAAUUAUAGCCAGACAACUUAUCGUAAGCAUGAUCUCCCACAUGGCAAAAUCAUUAACUCCUUCUGAUAAGACCAGCCAAAAAGCAUAGACAGAUGCCAAGAAAACGCCAAUCUACAUAAAUUCCUUGCAAAGCAACAGAAAAUACUGAUCAAUUACUGGUUAGUCUCAUCCAGAUAGAAGGACACAAAUGUGUGCACUGCUGAACCUAAUAUUGAAUUCAAAGAGGAUACAUGACGCAACAAAGCGACUUCAUUACCAUAUAUCAAUGUGUGCACCGCCGACAAAACAAUCACGAUUUAUUCAUGAAGCUUGAAUAAAUUUUCAAGUGUCUGCUAUAACUAUUUUUUAAAGGUGGAUAAUAAAUCUUUAAAUGUUUGAAUCUGGUACCAUAAAAAUUAAAUCUUCUACACUUGGAAAGAGAUAUCGCAUUCAUUAUAAAACACACAAUUAAUGAUAGACUACGUUGACUACUUAUCACAUGGUAUUGUGGAUGUGCCAGAUAUAUUUUAUCAUGAUAUCUAGAAAGGAUAUUAAUUAAAACAUGCAAUUAAUGAUACAAUCUGGUGCUUCCAUCUAUACAAAUCAUUCAUUGAUGUACAACUGGAAAGUCUUAUAGCAAUUUUGGUGCAUAAUCAUAUAUAGAAAACAUGAGAUGCAUCAAUAUUUUGAUACAAUCUGCAACUUCCAUAUAUACAGAAUUUCCCCGCAGUCCUUUAGGCUUCCAAAAAUGCCCAUCACCACUAUAUAUAUAAGUCUCCAUCAUUGUACAUAGGAUCAUCUCCUCUUUGACACCCUCUCCUCCACGAUUAUGGUAAUCUCAUACAGGUUGACGACCUCAAGGAGAGUGAUGGCGUCGCCAUCAUUUCCUGUCAUCCCUCGUCCCAUCACCCCCCAAUUAACAGGCAUGAAAAAAUUGAGCUGCUUGUACGUCAGUUUGCCAACACCGCUGAAUUUUGUUUGUCGUUCAUGAGGUUUAUUCUAUACACAGGAACUUGACAUUUCGUCACGUCGAGAUGGAGCAUAUAUACCAGAAUUGUUGGACCAUUCGUGCAAUGGUCCAAUGGAAGGCACAAAUCAAAGUGAAUUCCAUGGGAAACAUAUACCUUCAAUGCAUACUACUGGAUCAGGAAGUAAGGCAUUGCUCAUCACUAUUUCAUAGCAUAUAUUUUGUUGUACACAUUUGAUAAACGAUUUUAUUUGCUAAUUAUGUUGAUGAUUCGUAUAUUGCUUUAGGGGACAAAAAUGGAAGCCAUUGCGUUCAACAAUCAAGUUGUUCGUUUCAACACCAUUCUUCAAACCGGCAUGUCCUAUGAAUUCACUCGUGUAGGAUUUAACCCCACUGAAAUGGCAGUUGUACAUUUCUUGUAUCUAGACAUGGAGUUUAUCAUGACACUAGAUAGUAGGACUGUGGUUAUGAUUUCGGCGCACAGGAUAUCAACGGCAAUUUGUCCAUUGUGUUUCCCACAAUUUGGGGCCAUCUACUCACUACAAGACAAACGCAUAACUGGUGCAUUUUUUAUCUUUGUUCUUGCAUAUUUUGUUAUAGAACUCAGGGUCUCAUUCUGAUUAAAUCUUCGCAGAUGUUAUUGCUAUUGUUGCCUAUGUUAGUAAGAUACAAACUCUAUGGGAUCCAAUAUAUGAUAGACAUGUCCCUUUGCUCGAAAUUGGCCUCAUGAACUUUCGGUGAGAGUCGUUUAUAAUAUGAGAUUUACAUAUGCUUUUUUGAGUUAAUUGUUGCAAACAUAAACUAAAAUUUGUUUUUGUCUGUAGACGUCAGAUAAUUUUCCUACGCAUAUAUGACGAGCACGUUGGCCGUCAAUUUGACCAUUUGCGACGCAGCGUAAAUCAGUUCGAAAAAAUAUCAAUUACUUACAUACAAUUUAAUCGAAGGCGUCAAUGCUUGCAAACUAUGCGGGAGAGCACGUUCACCUAUUCUCCUAAUAUUGAUCAUGAGGGUCAUCAUCUACAAGGCAGGUGUUGCGUACUAUUUCAAAUUUUUGUCUUUAUAUUUUCUUGUACAAUACUAUGUCAUUAAUAUCACUGACACUUAUUUUUAUUUGUAGAUAUCCAUGAAGCCAGUCUCAUGACACUUGACGAAACACGUGCCUAUGUCAACAAUAUUGUCAUGGCUAGGAACAAUGGACUCUAGAAUUAUCUUCGUGUACUCAUUAUCACAUUUCUUCAUUGAUGUAAAAAGUCAAUCGAAAUUGUGAGUUAGGCAUCUCGUUGCCAAGUGUCUUCAUGUCUUAUCUUAUGUAAUAUAAUCUUAUGUAAUAAAAAUGUAUGAUAUUCAAUAAAAAAAUCUUUGUGUGGUAUGUGUUUUGUGCAUUCAAUAUUUUGGUUGGGAAAACCUGAGAUAAGAAAACUUGCCUAUAAAUGAUCGACCGAUAAAAUCGAUAAAUCGGACGAUAAGCCGAUUUAUCUCUUAAUCGUGUGUCGACCGAUAAGUUAACGAUAAUAGACAUCCUAAACAGGUGUAAUAAAUGUACGAUAUUCAAUAAAACAAAUCUGUGUGUAGUAGGUGUUUUGGGCAUGCAAUAUUUCGGAACCAACAUCUAUGUCAGGAAGGAUAUCAAUUACCGUAGACAGACUUAAUGCCUCUUGAUUUUAAGGUAAGGUCAAUCAAUAGUUUGUUUAUUAUUUGGAAGUCAAAUAAAUUUCUAUUCCAAGUUAUGUGUCAAUCAGGAUCACAACCCUUCAUAUAAUAUCCAUUCGGUCCUAUUUCAACGCCCAGCUCUGUCCUCACAAAUUUCUGAGCACACAACACUAUAUUUUCACCAAUGGAUGGUGUGCCGGCACCCCAAGAGGCUGUCCACGCACCAGUGGAUGUUCAGCUCCAAAUGCACGAGGCAUUGCCUGCCCCACUAGCGGAUGCAUACAACGUGCAUGUCGUAGAAGAUGCUGUCGACUACAUAUUUCAAUGGAUCAUAGACGCACAAGAAGAUGAGGCAUUAAAGUAAGUUAUCUUUUCUCCAUGUUUUGUUGUAGACCAUGCUGUAUUACUCUCCUACACAACAGGAUAAAUAUAUGUUCUGUUUUUGUGAGUUGAAUCAUUCGAUAGUUUGAAUUAACCACGAUAUUUUAGAUGUGUCCAGCUCACAGCUGUUACCCAUAAGUAUGUGCUUAGUUGUGUGCUAUAUUACUUUUGUAAGCGCGCUUUGUAACAACCAGAUCAAAGCAAUAAGCAAAAUAAGCCAAGCUGGACACACCCCUAUCGCCAAACAAAUAUUGAUGAAGAAAAUGUUUCAUACCAAAUAUACUUUUUUCAUAAAUAACAAAGUAUAUUUAUAUUGUAGGUAUGGGGAAUUCAAAAAGCAAAACUUAUAUAAUUCUGUUAUUUUCAUGUUAUUAUCAUUAAGCUAACUUUGGUAUAAAACAGUGUAAUGUUUGUUCAUCCACCAAAUUUUAAUGAAUGUUUAUUUUCUCCUAUUGGCUAACAUUGUUUGGAUUUAUUUGUGGUACCCUAAUGUAGAACAGUACAUUUUUUUAUCUGUGAUACAUGUGGCCAUGUUUUUUUAGACAACUAAUAGAUUGUUACAUUAAAAAAAGAGCUACCAGAUUAUGACACAUUAUUUAGCAGAUUUUCAAUGGAAGCAACUAUUUCACUUAUCUUUGCUUUCAAUCAAUCGUCUUUAUUUAUUCACGAUUAUCAUAUUUUUGGAUAAAGUUAUAUUUUCAAAAUAAGUUCGUUACAAUAUCCUAAUGGUGAUGCAGAUAUAUGUGGAUGUUUUUUUAUUAAAAGUUGUUCUGCUUAUUUUUGGUAGCACAAUAUGGAUAAGAAGCGCACGACCAUACCAUAUCGAGAUCAGCCUACGGGUCAUCCGGGAAACAAUUUGUCUUCAUGGACAAGUUCAUCCUGAUUGCUUCAAUAUCGUAGUUCGUAAACUCGCCAGCGCUGAAGUGGAGACCACUGCAGGCACAAGGAUGUUUGGAAAGAAACAUUUCUUUGACCUGCGGUUCCAUUCUCAGGCACGGGCUCUGAGACACUCUUGGACGGAACAAGGUCCCCGCACCACGGCUCUGAUUGACAAUGCUAUUGUCGAGCCGUUUCCUAAAUAUGAUGUGUUCAACUCUACAAUUGUAAGAGACUGUUGGUAAUUCCUAUCUUAAAAUUUAAUUUUAUUAUUAUAUUAACAGUUAACAUGUGUCUAUCUACUGCAUCUUCCACGGUAUCUACUACCAUUUACUUGUGUGGAUUCAAACUACGCACUACUUGUAGUCAAUAUGGAGUGUGGGAGGUUUGUCCAUUUUGAUCCAGCCAUCGACAUCUAUAGUCGUGGAAUUAGUUUUCAUAACAGUGAGUUGAUGAAGGAAAUCACAAUGUUGAAGGAAGAAUUCAACAAUGUGUUCCAUAUGAGGAUUCCUGAUUGGAAUACCCAACUCAUGGAAUGGCCUGCUGAUGGCAUAUCUUGUACUGCCAGACGGUAAUAUACUAAAGCAGAUCACUUACAGUAUGAGCACAUUUAUAUAGUUUUUAAUAUAUACAGUUUUUAACAGCAAAGACUCCGCUUUUCAAGUGCUACAAGAGAUGGCCCACCAGACUGGUACAACGGCGUCGAUGAGGUGUAAAACAGACGUAAGUACAUAAUAAAUAGGUUUAGUGUGCAAUUUAUUUUCUAGACAUUUAUUCCAUUAUGUUUUUUUGCAUCUUUUAUAGGAUUCAAUACAGCUCAGGAAGCAACUCAUGAUCCAGAUGCUGACGAUCAAACAUAGUGAAGCGGCUGGAAACAUCCCGGUUGAAAUUAGAGAAGCCUUGAGGGUCAUAACAGACUGACUAUGGACUGAUGGGUCUAAAAAUUACCGCAAAUAAAUCUGCAAUACAUCUUUUUUAGGUGUCUGCUUCACAAUUAUCUAUUUGGCAAUACGAAUAAUUAGUUGAUAUAUUUGGUUAUCUAUUCAUUUUGUUUUACUGAUAUAUUUAAAACUCUAAAUAUCAAGUCUUGGUCUAUGUAUGAUGUUUUAGUGGUAUUGGCAUCCACUAGCUUUGUAUUACCUACAAAUUUUUAUUGGGUUGGUGUCAUACCAAACCGGUUUGGUAGUACUCAUAAACCGUAUUCAUUUUGUAUUGGACCAUGCCAGGUUCACAUGAUUCUACAAGAGCAGCCAGUUGUCGGUGUACACGCACUAGUAUCGUGGCUCGCAUCCUAUACUGAUUCGUAUCGUAUAACUUCAUCCAUACACACACUGGUAUAUGAUACAAGGUUUACUUUGUCGAAUAUCAACCCAUACAAGCUACGGAAUAUUGAACUUAAAGAUAUGAUGGUUGUAAGUCAUGUACCUUGCAUUGCCUUUAAUCUUCAAGUAUCUUCACAUGUUUGCACAUGAUCCAAAAUCUAUAUCAGGAUCAUGAUAUUCCCAACUACGUGAUUGUUCACUUUUACGUUGACCUGAAUGGAAUAACCAAAUUAAAUGAAAAUGUGUUUUAUUCUUGACUACAUAAAGUAGAAGAUGAUACGAACAUUUAUCAACCAACAGGGAGGAGGAAGAAAUUUAUUAUUAAGCUACUAUAAAGGAGAUACAUAUUCUUUUAAUAAGCCAAUUGUGAUCAGGCAAUAUUUUGUGUUCUAUGUAUGAAGCAUGUUUUUCACUCAUCUAUUACCACUAUUACGAGACAAAACUUUGAGAAGUACCAUUAGAUUAUCCAACACCUUCUAUAACCUAAGAAUAUAAGGUAUUAUGUAUGAAGUUUAAUACUAAUGAUACAGAGAUAAAAUGGACAAGUGCGAGGCUACCGAAUAACAAGUUAAAAAUUGAUAUAUGCAUGGGAGUAUGGAUCGAGAAAUUUGAAACCUGAGAAAGAAGGUCUAUGAUUUAACAUGUAAAAAUAAAGAAUAAUAGAAAUCUCGAUAAAUACAACUUGUCAUGCUACUACUUAUCUUAUGAUUUAAGCAUAUGCAUCCAUUUAUAGAAUCAACCUGUACCAAAGUAAAAUCAUAUGCUUGAGAUAACUUGGCAGAGUAUAAACAGAGUAGAAUUCAUAUGCUUGAAAUUGAAUUAGAGCAGAACUAAGUUACUAAAUAACCUACCCGUUUGACUAUGACAUUGUUGGCAUCCUCUUUAGCCACUUCUUACUUUAGUAAUGUACUAAGAUCAUGGCAUAUUUUCAAAGAUAAUACUAUCUAUCCAAACCAAACAAGAAAACACUUCAUUACAACGGGGAAUAAUUAGGGACAAUUUCACUAUGUAAAAUGCAUUGAUAAAUUUAAAAAUAGUUAUCACAGAAAAUUAAACGCCGUGCGUUGCCAUGGGCUUUCAGAAAAUAAAUAAGAUGUUACUAACUGAGUUAACCAAGAACAAUGCUGACUAAGCUAACACACAUCUUUUUUAUAUAAUCAGCUAACACAUAUCAUACUAUGAAACACAAUAAUCUUAGAGCACCUAUAGCCGGUCCCCUCAAAUCCUGCUCAAACGUCCACGGAAACUAACCAGUGGAGAAAUAUGUAUAGAGAGACAUGGGUGAGAAAGGGGCAGGCACCAUUCACUAUGUGACAUAUUAGUGUAACAAGCAUCGGUAUUAUAUACCUUGAAAUGUACAAGUACAAGGCCACAUUGCAGACCACCCAAAUAGGUUACAAUCACUAUAUUGAGAUGAUAAAGCAAAAGAACAACCAGUGAGCUUACUUAAAGUACCGUUGAUUUACAAAUUACUAACCAAUGGAGUCAUCCAGACUCAAAUGUAUCCUGACAACACCAUGGAGCAUCAGGUUGGAGCGGUUUAUUUUCUGUGAUAAUAUAUCUUCCAUUCCUGUAGUAAUAAAGUAUGAACAAUGAUUAGAGAUUAAAUAAAAAAAGAUAGAAAGACACAGUUACGAUAAAUCUUGCAUUCACACUUCAUGUAGCAUACUUAGCAUACAUAAAUUAUUUUUCUACACGGCACAGAAUAUAGUAAGUAGUUAUCUACCAGCUUUGCUUCUAAUGAAUCCAUAGUGUGUAGGGUUUAUAGCUAAUGCAAGAGCAAACAAUUGAGAACCAUAUAGCUAGAUCAAGCAAUUAUAUAUUUGAACCAUGUAUAAAUUUGACAUGAGAAUUGCUUGACACCUGAAAAUGCCAACAAUUUUGAGCUUUAAUUUGAAAGGACCCAAAGCUGAUAGAUCACUCAGUAAAUAACUCUGAAAUAUAUCACCUGCAUACCGUAAGUAUGAAUGGAAUUUGUCAAAAUAAUUCUGAAAUAUUUCAGCUUUAUAUAUACCACUUUAGGAGUAUAGAUAUGUUAGUAUGUAUGGAAUUAAUGAGAAGUUCUUUAUUUAAUUAUGAUAAUUUGAUUCUAUAGUAAGUUCAGAUUGGUUGACAUCUUUCUAAUUUAUUAACAGGUGUGCAAUCAAUGGAAAAAGGAAACAAAUCUACACCAUACAAGAAUCAAAUUUAUUAACAGGUGUGAAAUCGUUGGAAAAAGGAAAAAGAUACGACAUACAAGAAUAUAUGGUAGAAUUUGAAUACGCCAGGAUGUGCUACCCAGUGGCCCUCCGCUUUGCCUACCUAUAUAGAUAACCUCCUCUGUCAUCCUUCUUCCCCCUCCUUGUUCUCCCUUCGCCCAUCACAUAUAGCAAAGGAUAUAUCAAAGGAUCAAAACAGACAAGGCUGGAUGGUAAAUUGAGGAGGAGUACAUUGCGUAAUCAAGGAGCAUCAAGAAGUCGAGUUCCUCUAGGUAUGAACUUUCCUAGAUCUUUCACUUUUCUAAAAGUUGAGUAUUUAUUAGAUUAUGAUCAUCUGGUUCAGGUUCACUAUCAAAUUGCAAAUGAAGAAUGGCAGUGGAGAUACUGCCAACUAAUCAAAACCUAACCAAGCUAACCUAUUAGGUGGGUUAUAGCUCACAACAUGUAUUCCCAAGGCAGGUCAAAAAAUAUGUAUUCCCAAGUAGCCUCAUUAGAAAUAAUAAUAUUACAAGGUGCCAACUAUCACAAAUAUAUACAUUAACUUGGAUCUCAGUGACUAAUGAGUAAGGCGGCGGUGGGAACAAUAAGCAGGGAAAGGAAGAAGGCAAUUGCAAUGGAGGGGGGAGGAAUACAAACCAUGAGGAGGAGAUAUUGAGCAGCAUGUCGAUGACCUUCGAAUGAACAUCUCCAUCAGAUCCUCCUUGGUGCCUGCGGCAACCAAUCCUCAAACAAUUCAUAACCAUCAGCACAAAUACUGACCAUAUCGAAUUCAGCCUCUGAACAAAUUUUAUGAGGCUGCAGAGACCAGGACAGCAAGAUAUACGUAUGGGCUGGCAGUGGUAGGUGACUUACUGAUGGCAGGCGGUCUGGAUGACGGCGAGGACAGCACGUAGGGGUUGGAGCCCGUGGUCGCCACGACCGGCGGCGUCGGUGGCCGCGCCAGGUCAUCCGAGGACAUGCGAGGGUACGCCAACGGCGGCGCGACUGCCGUGUGGGCUUCGGGCUUGCAGUCCAUGUGCGCUCGGCCUCCAGUGGGCAUAGUUGACGGCUGUAAGAGAGACGUGGUGGUCGGGGUAGUGACACGGGCACGCAAUAAAGCACGUGAGACACGCAUGGAUCUAGAAUCCAGGUCAUGGAAAUCGAUCAACCUCCACUGGUAGAGUAGAAGGAGGAGGAGGGAAAUGACGGCGACCUCUCCGUCGCCGCCGGCGCCACCGUGGUGGAGAGGAUUGGAGGGGAGGGGAGACGAGGGGCGUCUGCAUCUAGAAGCCAGGCCAUGUAAAUCGACCGGCCUCCAUCGGUAGAGUAGAAGGAGGAGCAGGGAAAUCACGAAUACCUCUCCGUCACCGCCGGCGCCACCGUGGGGGAGAAGAUUGGAGGGGAGGGGAGACGAGGGGCGUCUGCAUCUAGAAGCCAGGCCAUGUAAAUCGACCGGCCUCCACCGGUAUAGUAUAAGGAGGAGCAGGUAAAUCACGAAUACCUCUCCGUCGCUGCCGGCGCUUCCGUGGGGGAGAAGAUUGGAGGGGAAGGGAGACGAGGGGCGGUUGGAUCUAGAAGCCAGGCCAUGGAAAUCGACCGUGCUUCACCGACAAAGUAGAAGGAGUAGGAGGGAAAUCACGGAUACCUCUCUGUCGCUGCCGACGCCACCGUGGGGGAGAGGAUUGGAGGGGAAGGGAGACGAGGGGCGGUUGGAUCUAGAAGCCAGUCCAUGGAAAUCGUCCGGCUUCGACCGGCAGAGUAGAAGGAGGAAGAUGGAAAUCAUGGAGACCUCUCCGUCGCUGCCGGCGCCACCGUGGGGGAGAGUAUUGGAGGGGAGGGGAGGGGAGGGGGUCGGGUGUGUCCGCAUUUGGCCGACGGCGAAUGGGUGGAGGGGAAGGGAUGAGAGGGGACGGUGGUGGGAGACGAAGGGAGUGCAGUGGGUCGAGUGAGGCAAGGAGUGGAUAGAGUUCGACUGGAAACUGAGAGAGUGAGUUUGUUUAGCCAAAUGGAGAGAGUGAGGUUAAGGGAGAUCGGCCUGGUUGGGCCGUGCGGUAUAUUGGGUCAAGGUUGGGCCCUGCUGGAUAGUCAAUUUUCAACUUAGCUAUAUCAAAAAUGCUUAAAAUGUUUUAAAAAAUAAAAAUGCCUAAAAAAAAUCUAUGAAAAAAUAUAUAUAUUAAAAGUUGUUUAAAAAACAUGUAUAUUAUAGUUGGAUCAUACAAAUCAAUUUUUAUACUUAUUAGAUAUAUUCAUAGUAUCAACAAAAAACACAAUUUUGAAAGAAUAAGCCGAAUAUACUUGGUUUAUGUUGUAUCGCUUAGCCUAUAUAAAUAUAUUUAAAUGAUUUAAGAAAUUUCAGAAGACUGCUUAUUUAAAUAUGAACAUUAUAGUUGGUUGUUUGCUGAAAUAGAAAUGCAAUGUAUUUUUUAAUAAUAUGAAAAAGCAUUGUUUGUUUAUACAAAAUAAAACCGCUGUGUUAGUUUCAGUUUUAUUAUAUAAUAUGUUUAUAUGAUGCAAUAUAAAAUAUCAUUUAUAUUUCAUUGGAGAUAGAAAGUGAUGGGUUCUACUGAUGUAACGAUGAUGGACCAGACUGAAGCAUCACGAGAAGAGGUGCAUAUAGUUAAUCCUUUUUCGUAUGUAUGUUACUCAUGAUAAUACAAAAGAUUUAUUAGUUUAUAUUAAUAUUUUCAGAAUAUAGGAGACAUAGAUAUGGAUUUUGGAGAUGCACAAAAAGAAUCCAUCGACAUGGCUUCUGAUGCGGCAUAUCUAAAAGGGGCCGAGAAUCGAUCAAUUUCUUUACAAAACAAUGACGUGGAACUAAUGAUAUCUCAUAAAAAACCAAAAAGUAAUGCCAAUUUGAAUAUUACCACACAAGGUAUUUGUUCCUGUAAUUGACAACUAGGUACUCGCACGUGGCAACUAUAUAAACGCACAUAUGCACAUCCGACCCCAAUAAGCACCUUCGAGAGCUGAGCCAGCAUAUCAUUUUAAGAUGUACAAAAUCAUCAUAGACGCUACAUCAUCGAUGGAAACGUAUCCUCCCACUAAAUACGCAUCGACAAAAAUCCUAAAACAGAUUCAGAGAUAAUACAGUACGAACAAUAAAACUUAAACCUUGUUAGACCGGAGAUAACAAUGUCUUCUAACCAUCCAAUCAUAAGUUGGUUCGUUAUUCAUCGCUGGUUCUUACUUGAUGUGGUAUCAACGUUUUCCUAUAUAUUUAUUUUUCACCAGAUUCAGCGGCCAUAAAAUGCCCUGAAUCAGUAUACCAACAAAAUAAAAUAAAAUUUUGAAUUCCUUUACAUCGGAUGUACAAACGAUCUCUGUCGUCAUCCCUCGGGCAUAUAAUCCUGCACCCUAGCUACUGCCGCCGGAGAUGGUCGAGCGCGAGCGCAAGCGUCGGCGCGAACCUUUCGACGUCGACGCGCACGUUCUGCUUGCCGAGGUAGAACUCGGCGACCUUGUCCCACCCGCUCCGGUGGACGGAAUCCGGGUCCUUGAUCGCGGGGUGGUCCGGCCCGAGCGUCUCCAGCAGCGUGCUCUCCUCCGCCUUGAUGCUGUACUGGAGGUACCGGAGCCCCAUGUCGGACGCGGGGUCGCCGAACUCCCGCUGCGCCAUCGGCUCCAGCUUGCCGUACGGCACCACCUGGAUCACCACCGCGCCCGGCGGCAGGAACGCCGCGUUGGUCAGCCCGGCGCCGUGCACGCCCAGCAGCACGUCGAACGAGUUCACGGACAUGGCCAGCUCCUUGACGCGCACGUUGAACCGCGGGUCCGCUAUGACCACCUCGAACCCGGCCUUCUCCGCCGCCUUGACGAUCUCCGGCACGUUCACGAGCUUCCGGUAGUGGCCCCGGUCGAGCAGCAUCAACCGCGGCUUCUUCUUCUUCCUGUCCACCGGCGGGCUGCUCCCCUUGGUCAGGCGGAUGGGAGCGGCGCGCGGCAGGGAGUAUGUCUCGCGGAGGAAGGCGGUGAAGUUAGCCAUGGAGAGCGGCACGCCGCCGGGGACAAGCUCAGGCACGAUGUCGAACUCCCUGUGCAUGUUGAGGCCGACGGUGACGCGCCGGAAGCACCUGAUCUGAUCGUCAUGGUCCAGGUCCACGACGUCGUACUUGGUCAGCCGCCGCACGACGGCCUCGUACUUGCCGAGCCACCAGGGCUGGAUGUUGCUGGCCAGGAGCUGGACCUCGCCGUGGUACCGCCGCGACGCCACGAACAGCGGCACCAGCGCGUCGCUGAAGUCGUGGAAGUAGUUGCCCAGGUGACCGCCGAGCCCGAUCACGAUGGCCGGGACGCGGUGCGUCACCGUGCACGCCGGCGCCGGGGACGCCGCGGACGUCGAGUCGAGCUGCGUCACCGUGAUGUUGGGGAUGCCGGUCAUGUUGUAGCGGGCGUAGGGCUGGAUGCUCCACUCCCGGCGCUCUGUUAGGGACGUGGCCGGCACCAGGGUGACGGUGUGCGCCGUGCCGUUGGUCCGGACGUCGCCGGAGACGUCGCAGGUGUAGGAGAAGGGGCUCGCUCUGCACACCACCUUGCCGUUGUCUGCUCAACAAAAAAGGACACCAUGGUUAGUCAGCUUCAUUGAGGAUUGAGCAUUUUUACUGAUCAACUGAAAUCAAUUAGAUGCAGGAAGAGAAAUGCAGUGGUCAUCUAAUUGUUUCAAAGAAACAACGAGAGUUCAUCACUUAAGCUAGCUCAGCCAGGAAUAACCCGUUGCUACCCUACUUAAAAUAGACAACCCGUGAACUAUUCUUUUUUAUUUCAGGAAGGCCCUAAAGUGCAGUCAAAUGACCUCAAUGAUUCUUGCAAAUCCUUUACUGAAUUGGCAGAGCAAGUGUUGUUUAUUUGUGAAAGUUGAACCUAGUAGUAUAAUAGAGAUGACACCAUCAAAUUUAUUUUCUGGCUCCACCCCUGCUUAUAAAAUAGUCAAACUAAGAACUAAAUUUUAUUUCGGGAAGUCUCUAAAGCGGUAAGAUAUGGUUUGGUAUCGUUAGGUCCAAAUACAAGAAACGUUUGCAACACAAAAAUCCGAAUGGUCCCUAAAGUGAUCUGGACUUUGCCAUGUGUCCCGUUGAAAAGUAUUUUCACAAUGAUGCGCUACCCUACACUUUGCGGCCAGGUCAUCAUCAAACAUGAAAAACAGGAAAGAAAAUCGUCGGCAUGUUACCGUUUACAAGGGGAAGGAAUUUGGUAUAGAUGACCUAGUAUAUAUACUAGUUUCAUCAAUAAAUUUGAUCCAAAUACCAGUACCACCACCAGUGACCACCGGAUACGUUACUAUACGUCCCAAACCUACUAAUAAUCGGAUCGGAUCAGCACAUUUAUGGUGAGCAAUCAGUGAGCAGACAGUAGGUACUCUACAUACGUCUGAAAGCCGAUCGAAUCGAAUCAAACCUUCUCUACAUUUUCUACCAGUAUCAAAUGCAUCAUCACAUCGCAUCAAAUCACAUUAAUUUUGCUUGUUUUAAAUCAGGGGAAGGAAUAUUUGGACACAUACCGAAGGGCUUGGCGGCACCGUCGUCUCUGUCUCUCUUCCCCACGCCGCGUGCGCGGUGCUCUGCUUUCGGCGGCCCUGCUUUUGGUGAGAGAAAACACAGCUGCCUUUCGUUCACUCAUUCCGUCCAUGCCGUGCCACCGACACCAAGAAGAAGAAAGAAAGAUAUUUGUGGUGCUUACCCUGUUGCCGCUGCCGCUGCCGCUGCUCUUGAGCUGGUCCGGCCUCCGCCGUCGCCUCUCCUCCUCGAUUCCGUUGCGUUAAUCCUGGUCAAUUUAGCAUAUGAUUCGAUCAGUCAGAGAGGGAGGCACGCAUCACUGUCUCCAAAGAACAAGCUGACUUCGUCGGAUUCUUUCUUUCCAGCGGCGAGGUAGUGCGGCAUUAAUGGUCUCCAGAGUCCGUACUUGAAAUUGGGGUGCUGGGAGUUACAGCAGGGGCAGGGGUGGUGGUGGUGGAUCCUAACCUGCUUCGCCGGCGCGACCGGAGGACUUGGUCGCCUGGUGCUUCUUCCGGUGCGGCGUCAUGGCGGAGACGGCUGCUGCAGAUGGACGAACACGGACGAACGAACGUAUCAAGGGAGGGGCAAGACCGGCAAGGAAUCUAGAACCGAGAGAAGAGCGAGCGAUGCGCCGGGCGGGAGCGAAGGCACGGCGGCUGUGUCGAUCACCGGGGAGUGCGUACGUACCGUCAGGGGAGGCGACGGCGAACUGCUGGGAGACGACGAAGUAGGCGAGGAGCACGAGGAGGAAGCCGGCGACGAAGCAUAGGUUGAGGUGCCGCUGCGCCCAGGCGCCCACCGUCAGCCCCUUCCCGGCAGACGCCGGCGCCGGCGCCGACUGCUUCUCCACGCUGACCAUCUCCUCCUCCGUCUACCGGCCGCGGCACGAGGUUCUUGCUCCCUUGAAUGAGCGGCGGACUGGCGUCGCUGGUUCACAUGGGAGAGAGCUGUAGAUGGCUAGGGACGGGACAGAUGGUGUGGCAUGCAGAUGCAGAUGCAGUGUGCGACUUUGGGUUGGGGUUCCCAAAGCUUCGGCGCCCGCUGGCUUUCUCCUCCAUCGAUCGGUGGCCAUUUUGUACCCAUCCGGCGGCCACCCGGGCGGCGCCUUUCGCACUUAACCCCCUACUACUACUACUACAGAGUACAUAGAACCCAACCCAACGGUUUGGUGAAUGAUGAGGAGCAAUUAAGUCGACCCUUGAGCGACCGGUGAGAGCAACUCUGGUGAGAGCAACUCUAGCAGACCCGUAAAAAAUUUACCCGUAAAACACAUUUGCGGUUUCACGAAGAUCGCGUUUGCGGGUUGAAAACAUAUGUGAUCGAACAGAACCCGUAUCAAAACCUGUAUAAUUUAAAAAAAACACUUUCGCGGAAAAAAUUACACAAACAUAGUUCAUCACAUGAUCAACAAACUACAAGCAUAGUUACACUACAUACUACGUUAAACUAGUAAUAGAGGGGUCGGCGCUCCGCCUCCUCGCGCACGCUCCGCUCCAGCGGGCUCCUCCUUCACCGGGACGAAGGCGAACGGCGCCGGCUCCUCCGGCUCCUCCUCGUCGUCCGACCACUCCCUCUUCACGGGAAGAAAGCCCAUGCCAGAGGACGAGGAGGAUCCGGCAUAGGAAGAUCUCGCGGAGGAGAAGGACGUGCUACGGCGGUCGUACUCCUCCAUCUCGCGGCGGUUGAAGCUCGCCGGCGGCGACAUCCUGCGGUCGGUCCACCUCCGGGCGUCGCGCUUCCUCGCGCCGUCCGUCCGGACGAGCCGCUCGCGCUCCGGGUCCCUCUCACGGUCGGAUCUGCUGCCGGAGCCGCGUCCGAAGCUCCACAUUCGGCCCCACAUGACGGCUGGAGGCGAGGCGGGUGGUCGCCGGCGGCGAGAAAUGUGGAGAAAGGAAAGGGGAAUCGGGUGGCUCGCGGCGGCGGGGCGAUAGGGUUUGGACCCGCAAAAUGGUCGCGGAACCGCAGUUAUACUGCUCGGGGCGUGCGGUUUAUGUGCUACGGUAAAAAAAUGUGCGGACCGGGCGAGUAUGCGGGCUCUGUUCUAACCGAAAAAUUAGGUCGAGUCCGCAUACUAGCCGGAAUUUUUAGGGACCGGACGUUUUGCGGGAUGUGCUAGAGUUGCUAUAAGGAACAAUAACUAUUAUUAGAAAGCAACAAUCCUUAACACGGGCAUCAAGCCCGAGUGAGCACAUGAUUCUAUCGUAGAGAUCAGUUUGUCCUUGUCUCAGCACCAUCAUUCAGACUGGACCUGCCACGAGUGUUAGAUCUAUCAACCAGAAUGGUCAUAUCCCGCACCAUCGUCCUAACACCAGCCUGAAAACCAUCUUCCUUACAUUUAAAUUCUACUACUAUAAAGUCGCACAAAUUCAUAUUAGUAUCACUAUACUGUUUCUUAGAGGAUGCGGUUUAGCGGAUUUGCUAAAGAUGCCAUGAGCCUCCUCUCCCCGCGCUAGACACGCAUAUGUUCCUCCCCAACCAUCCCGACCGUGACGGCAAUGAUGAGUAUACAGUAUACAUGAUCCGUAAUGCCCAAGGGACGGAUUUCACCAACUGGCGAGGUGAUAUGUGAAAAAACAUAGUAGUUUUUCCAAUGCUAAUAAGCGCGUGCGGGCCCGGAUACUGCCCGGGUCAUGCGUUUCUUUUAGCAUAACGAAGGGGCUGUUGAUCUGUCAUUCGGCUUGAUAGAAACAAAACAUGCAUGUCGUAAGCUAAACCAGCAGCUCUUGCAUCAGACAAAAAACCUUACGGCUGUGGGUCACUUGGCUUAGGUUAAUCUACAUGUCUGAUCACACUUGGAAGCACAGUUGGAAGCUGCUGCCUGGGGUCCAUGAACCCUUUUUUUUAGAUAUAAUCAGUGUGCCGAGACGCGGACAUGUGCAAGACGCAGAUGCAGACAUGUGCCCAAGUCCACCGACGAAGCCGAGGCUGGGAAAUGUUGUGAUGUGCAAAGCGUGGUGCGUGAAGACGUUCCUCCUCCCCGCGUUCGAUCAGGUUAGAGCAAUUCCAACCGUUCGAUUCACUUUAUCAGCGCGUGUUUAUUUGGUUGCCGCGGACCAAAAAUAUAUAUCAAAUGUGUCUAUGUAAAUUAAAUUGUGUCCGUUACAUAUCCGUUAGGACUGAAAUUGGUGUGAGGGGACUCAAACCAAACCCAGCACGUUGGGGGCGUUAGAGGCGCUGGGGAAAGGAAUUCNNNNNNNNNNNNNNNNNNNNNNNNNNNNNNNNNNNNNNNNNNNNNNNNNNNNNNNNNNNNNNNNNNNNNNNNNNNNNNNNNNNNNNNNNNNNNNNNNNNNAGACAAGCCUCCGAAGUCUUCGAGGUGUACUCCAUCGAUCGCAAUCCCUAUUCGACGCUCGUGAGCGUCAAAAGGGGGCACGCAGCUUCGCUCAAGCUUGAUCUYAMRUWCGUCGWSGCUSGUUCGUUUCSUUUCUUUSUUUCUUUUUUGUCUUUUCUUUUCUUCUUUCCUUUUUAUUCUUUCCUUUUCUGCUUCUGUUUCUUUUUUUAUUUUAUUUCCUUUUUCAUGCAUAAUGAAAGGUUCAUUCUUCUUUGGAAAAAGAGUUCAUUCCGUGUUUAUACACAAAAAUGUUCAUCUUAUUCCAAACAAAAAAAUGUUCAACUUAUAUUUAACGAGUCUUCACCCCAUAUUACGAAAAUGCUUAACUUAUUUUUAAAUUUGCUCAUUGUGUAUGCUAAAAUUGUUCAGCGCAUAUCACAAAAUUGUUCAAUGUGUAUUUAAAUAUUUGUUUCAUCUUAUGUCACAAAAAUGUUCAAUGUGUACUUAAAUAAUGUUCGCAUUGUAUAAAAAUAUGUUUGAAGAUUGUUCAGAGCAUAUUAAAAUGUUUAUCGUACAAAAGUUUCAACAAUCUUUUGGAAUUUUAAAAGUGUGUUCACAUUUUUCAAACGUUUGUUCACUGUAUGUAAAAAAAUGUCCAUUGCCUAUACGAGAAUUGUUCAGUGUGGAAAAAAUAGUUCACCAUAUAUUAAAAAAUGUUCAGUUGAUAUUUGAGUAAAGUUCACCAUAUACUAAAAACGUUCAAUAUGAAGUUUUAAAUUCAUUCUAUUAAAAUAUUGUUUGGAAUUUUCACCUUAUUUACAUUGUGUCUUGUUCUUAUAGUGGUGCACUGCAAUGUCGACACAGAAGAGCAUCAGCUCGACUAGUUAUACUCGCAUGCGUGUAACGAGAGGUCCCAAGUUGGAUUUUGCCGGUCAUUUGUUUUUGGUAUAUUUUGGCGGUUCGAGAUGUAAUGGGCCAGCCCAAUUUAGGGAGUCCGGAACUAAGGGGUCCUCUAUCGGUUAGCUCAUCCCUUAUAGGCCGAUCAUAUGGACCGCGUUGUUGAAGAUCAGAUUGUGUGACGACCUCAUGCUUGAGAAAGAAUGUUCCGAAGACUGUCAUGUCAUCCAAGCAAAGUAGUCUAGAUCGUCCUAUCUGUCCCCUGCUGGAGGUCGUUUGUAUGUAACCCUAGGAACCCCUGGUGUCUAUAUGAACCAGAAGUUCUCAUCCGCAUUGGAAGGUUGAUUAAUAUAGGGUUUAGCUCAUACGAUCUCAGAGAGAUCAACUCUGUAAUUCUCAUCCACAUCAAUAUAAUCGAACAGGACGUAGGGUUUUACCUCAUCAAGAGGGCCCGGACCUGGGUAAAACAAUGUCUCCUUCUUCUCGUGUAACCUAUCGAUCCAUGGUCCACAGAUCGGGACCCCCUACCUGAGAUCCGCCAGUUUUAACACCAGUAUUGAUGAUUUCAUUGAGAGUUCUGCUGUAGGAUCGCCAGAAGGAUCGAUGGUUAGCUUAAUCAUCAGCAAUCGAAUCAGCAACGGGGACAUCUUCGUUCCCGGACAGGUUCUUGCGUUCGGCAGCUUCACACUGCGCGCCAACCCGACCGACUGUUUUGACCAGAUCGGAGGCUUCGUCUCGAGUCAGGAAAUAAGGUUUGGGAAUCUCGAAUUCUCCGCCGACUCGCGGGGCAAUCUGUUCCCCGCUAAGAUCACGGUUUCGUCCGAUGAGCUCCAAAAUCUCGAAGCCUUGACUUCGAGUCUCUUGUCGGGCCAUGACCUCGGUUCCCUCGUUGUCGAAGAGUUGGCCUUGAGCCCGAACCCGACCUAAGUGCGCGCGCAACAGCAAACGGUCAUUGCCGAACACGCAUCCCUAAAGUGGCAUUGAACUGCGACAGACGCGUCUUAUGGUACCGAGUCGUUACAUGGUGGCAAAGUGUGGUAGCUCCUUGCAAUUAACUCCAGGUGUCAGGAUCUAUUCGUCCGAUCAAUUUCCAUUUUUUUUCUUUAAUCUCUUCCUUUCCAUUUAAACAUAAUCAUAUAAAAUUGCAUGAUUGGUUGCGGGAGCAUCAAUAAGAAGAAUAUACGAAAGCGCAUGCUAAUACACAAAUAUCAUCGACCGGCCCUCCCGUGUCAAAUUUAAAGGUUGGUUGAAACAUGUGGUGCCGCCAUAGCUAUGCUUAUGCACGAAAAGUACCCAAUAAUCAAAAAUUAUAUGAUUUCAUAUCACGCUUACCACAAGUAAAACAGCAUAUAUUCACCACAACACAUUGUGCGCUGUGAGUAGAGGCAUGGCGAACUGCACAGGACAGAGUGUGCUUUUUAUUCGACUUCAUCUCCGACUAGAGCGUGUGGCAUGCCAUCGCCGACGGUCACCACGCGGACACCGGCCACCUCAGGCAUAGUUAUGCUUAUGAGGCUGUGUUGAGCAUGCUGCCACAGCCAGAGCCACAACCUGAACCAUGGCCACCAGAGUUGGCAUGGUUAGUCUCCCAUGAUCAUGCCACCACAUCCACCGCCACCGCACCCGGCGCCACAGCCUGAACCGCAGCCCCCAGACUUGGCAUGGCUCAUCUUGGAGCCUUCCAUGAUCAUGCGGCCACAUCCGCCGCCACCGCAGCCGGCACCACAGCCUGAACCACAGCCCCCAGACUUGGCGUGGCUCAUCUUGGAACCUUCCWUGACCAUGCCGUCACAACCGCCGCCACCGCAGCCGGCGCCACAGCCUGAACCACAGCCCCCAGACUUGGCAUGGCUCAUCCUGGAACCUUCCUUGACCAUGCCGUCACAAN
rnacentral:lncRNA from 1 species